rnacentral:lncRNA from 1 species
ACUCUAGUACACUCUUAUGCCUUACGAGUCUAACAAGUCUAAAAAUGAUAGUACCAGCCUCGUCAUGUGUAUUCAUCACAUGUUGUAUGUUGUAGAUGGAACGUAGUACAAAACUCCAAGGUCAUCUCUGAAUAGGUAGGCUCAAUAAUCGCAAAGAAUCGAUCCUACGGGGCAGUAUCGAGAUGGAAUCGAACAAGGUGAGCAAGUUGGACCUACUCCAAAGUGGCCUAAUCAAUACAACGGCCCACUCUUAAUGGCGUACUCGAAGAAGUUGAAACAAGUCGUCCUGUGGACUUGACGAGAAUCGAGGUAAAGGGUGACGAGCUUCGAUCGAGACGCUCAAGGAGGUUGCGCCAGGACCCUUCCACUUUUUCAAAGCGGGGACGACAGUUUUCUUGCAUCAUGUGUUUGUCAUGAUGUCCCUGUAGAAAUAAAAGAAUAUAUUAAUAAUGCAUCACCAAUUAUAAUCAAAGUAAUCUUAAACAAUGAAGAACCAGGUAAUGCUGAAAAGCAGAAAGAAUUAAUAAACCUCAUGCUGGUACCAAACAAAUAGCUAAUAACAUGAAGAAGCAGACUAGCAAUCCAAACAGAAACUAGAACAAAAGCGAUGCAUAGGAUUGCUGAAUAAAAAGAAGAUCAAUACCAUUAUCAAUAUGAAAAAUGUCCAAAAUCCCAAGAACAUAAAAGCAGUAGUCAAGAAACUAAAUAAAAUUAAUGCAAGGAUGAAAAUUGUGAAGACUAAUAAAACUAAAUACUAAUUAAUAAAUAAGUAAAAAUACUAAUGAUAAUGCAAGUUAAAGGGAAAAAAGGUGGAAACUGUUGGUGGUGAGGUGGUGGAAAGAACGGUAAUGGUGAGGGGGUGGCGUUGUUGUGAAAGGGAAAAAGAAAAAAAAUGUGAGGUGGGGGUCAGGUUGGGGGUUUGGUCGAGUGGCUGGGGGGUAAGGAGGUCGAUGGGGCUUAAGGGAAAUGAUGGGUAGUCGGGGUUGUUUUGGGAGAGAGGGUUGAGGGCGCAGCCGUGGGGUGUGCUGUGGACGAGAGGAAGGGGCGAUGGUGACUGGCCAGAGGACGAAGUGGUGACGGUGGCCGAAAUGGAGGGGUCAAAGGGCUGCAGCGGCUAGGGUUUGGGGAGUUGGGGAUGAAGAUAAAAGAAAAAAAAUAUAGGGCUUGGGGGUUAUAUGGGGACACGAUCGUGUGAGGCCCGUGUUGGGCCACACGGUCGUGUCAUACGCCCAUGUAGAUCGAGUUCAGCCCGUGUUUGUCGCAAAAAUUUAAUAUCUAUUCGUCGUACGGCAGAAGGACACGCCCGUGUGUCCAGGCCUGUGGUGCACACGAUCACGUCGCACGACCGUGUGCCAUGUCCUUCGCUUCUCCCACGCCCAUGUGGUAUCCCACACGCCAUUGUGUCCAAACACACGGACGUGUGUCUUGCCCGUGUGGCUCCCUGACUUAUUUAAAAUUUGAAAAUUUAGCUCUAGUUUUCACACAGCCUAGGACACUCCCGUGUUUCCAGGUUGUGUGAGUUACUGUUCCUGCAUAAAAAACACAAAAAAUAGUUAAAAUAAACUAGUUAGUGGUGUUAGUGCUCGGGUUGCCUCCCGAGAAGUGCUUAUUUAGAGUCUAAGCUCGACUUACCUUUCAUUCGCAUGAUUAUGGCGGAUCAUGGAGUCGAGACUCCUCUUUCUCACUAUCAAUUCUAUUAUCCACAUAAAGUUUAAGUCGAGUAAUAUUUACCUUAAAAGUGUUGAAUUGAGAAUAAUUUACCUCGACUUUACCAGAUGGGAAAACAUUCAGUACCGUAAAAAGAGUCGCUUCUUUUGUAUUAAGCUCUAAAGUAGCAAUUCGGGGGUCCUUUUCAUCUAACAAUGCUUUAUCCCCAACUUUAAAUUGCAUUAUUUCAUCCCUACGCUUAUCGAGGUGUCGCUUUGAUUCACCGUGUGCUUUUGGUUUCUCCUUGACAUGUGAUCGCCAUUCUUCUAGUUCAUUGAUCUGAAGCUUUCGUUCUUCGUGGGUCGCUCUGUUCUUAUUGCUUGGAUUAAAAUGAGGCACUAUCACGUUCUUCCUAGGAGAUUCUUGCAAAAAAGUUUGAGUUGUAACAUUACUCAAAUUAAUAGAAUUUAGACAAUCAACUUGAUUACUAGAUAUAUUAGCAGAAUCACGAGCUUGAAGUUUAAUCGUGUCAUCUCCUACACAAAGUAUCAAUUCACCUAUGCCAACAUCAAUGAUAGUUCUAGCAGUUGCAAAAAAGGGCCUUCCUAAAAUUAAAGGUACGUCACUAUCCUCAUCCAUGUCUAAGAUAAAAAAGUCAACUGGGAAUAUAAAUUUAUCAAUUUUGACCAGCACGUCUUCAAUAAUACCCCUAGGAAAUCUAAUUGUUUUAUCUGCCAAUUGAAUGCUCAUCCUAGUUUGUUUGGGUUUCCCAAGACCGAGUUGUUUAAACAUUUUAUAAGGCAUGACAUUAAUGCUCGCCCCUAGAUCAGCCAGCGCAUUCUUAAUAGUUAAACUACCAAUUAAAUAAAGAAUAGUAAAACUCCCUGGAUCUUUCACUUUGUUGGGUAACUUAUUAUGUAGAAUGGCUGAGCAACCUGUGUUUAGUUCCACGUACGACGCAUCAUCCAGCUUCCGCUUAUUCACUAAAAGUUCUUUUAAAAAUUUCACUGCGUUUGGCAUCUGCGAAAGAGCUUCAAUAAACGGUAUGUUAAUAUGUAAUUUUUUUAAUAAUUUAAGGAAUUUACCAAAUUGUUCGUCCGUGAGGUCUUUCCUUGUCGCAUUGGGGUAUGGCACACGAGGUUUAUACUCUUUGCUUACCAGUUUCUGCUUAUUUCGGCUUACCUCAACCUUACCUUUAUCUUCCACAUUGUCUUGCCUCAGUUUUGGUUCAUCUUCAGCAAACCUUUCAUCAUUGUGCACAGUAAUGGCGUGAAGAUACUCUCUUGGGUUAGUUUCAGUGUUACUUGGUAGGCCACCUUAUGGUCGUUCAGAGAUCAACUUGGCUAGCUGUCCUAUUUGAGUCUCGAGCCCUUGAAUCGAUGCUUGCUGAUUCUUAAACGCAGUUUCAGUAUUCUGAAAAUGAGUCUCUGCUACUGAGAUAAAUUUUGUCAUCAUCUCUUCAAGGUUCGGCUUUUUCUCUUGUUGAUAAGGUGAUUGUUGAAAACCUAGAGGAUGUUGUGGUCUUUGAUUUCCUUGGCCUCCCCAUGAGAAAUUUGGGUGGUUCUUCCAACCUGCAUUGUAAGUGUUACUAUAAGGAUUAUUUUGAGGUCUAGAAUUAUUACCCAUAUAGUGGACUUGUUCCUCCUCAGUGCUAGAGUUGAAUGAUGGGUAAUCUGUGUUGUGUACUCCUCCUCCAUUUGAAUCACACCUCAUCAUUGGAUGUAACUGAGUAGAACCAUACAAACCAUCAAUCUUUUUAUUUAAAAGUUCUACCUGAUUAGAUAGCAUAUUGACCGCGUCGAGGUUGAAAACACUAGCUGCUUUUGUCAGCUUCGUUUUCAUGACUUGCCAUUGAUAGUUAUUCAAUGACAUCUCUUCAAUAAAUUCGUAAGCCUCUUCAAGUGUUUUGUUGUUUAAAGAUCCACCGGCGGCUACGUCGAUUAGUUGCCUUGUUGAGGGGUUCAUGUUGGAACACCGGUACCCUCAUGGCACAGCGGAAAAAUAUAUAUAUAUUCUGGCAAUCCAAACCAUGGAUCCAUGUGCGAGGAACGAAUCGAGGUGAAAAAUUUUGAAAUUACCAAAAUUUUGAUCUGAGUAGACAGUGAAGCCUCGGCAAUGAAAAUACUAUUUUGAUUUCGAAUCCAAGCCGCACUCCUUAUGAUCCCGACCUCUACGCAAUCCACCCAGUUGACAAUGAAUGGAAGAAAUCCCAAAAACUAUUUUCAGAGAUAUUUUGCUUGACGGUUGCUAGACCUAAUAGCAAAGCUUCAGGUUUGUAUAUAUACAUUCACUUUUUAGGGUUUUUCUCCCUUUUCUAUAUAUAACUCCCCUUAUAAUUGGUAUGUAUAUAUCGAAUUAAAUUUUAAUCCGAACAUAAUAAUCAUAAUUAAAAUAAAUAAAUAUAAUAAUGUUUUAACCGAAAAUUAUAAUUACAUUAAUUAAAAUAAAGAUUUCGGUAAACUAUAUUUAUUUAAAUUUAUAUACGAACCAAAUUCAUAUAUUAAUAGAAUUAUGUUCUCCUUAUGUGUACAACAUCCUUGUACAUAUAAUAUGUUCGAUAUUUGAUUGCCCAAUUAAAUUAUUUCUAUAAUUAAUUUAAUUCAUGUGACAACCAAACACAAUACCAACUAUGUUUUAUUCCAUUCAUUUCAACCAUAGGGUGUGACCCUGUAGGUUCUUGUAACGUUAGCAAUAAUACUAGAACGAUUCUAAUGUUACAAACAAAUGAGUGGCAUCUAGUAAUGCAUCAUUGCUACCUAAGUUACAAGAAGUCAUGAUUCGACAUAACAUUUUGUGAUUAAUCUUUUAUGCAUUAAUCCUUAAGUGCUUUAUAUCUGGAAUGGACACAAGUCAUGGAAUAGUCACACUUGCAUAGUCCAUCCCAUGUUUCUUGAUACCUUGAGUAGACUAUGAUACACAAAUAAGUAUGACAUCUCAUAUCAACUUAUUUGAGCAUGGUCAUGCAUUUCUAGUCUCACUCAAUCAAGUGGCAUAAGAUAUUACUCAUAUUAUGUAGGAGGGACUUAUCCUAUAUUGAUCAACCAUAUCCCUCUACAUAGAUUGUGGUAUAUCCAACAUCAGCCUUUAUAAAUCAACCAGUUAUGGUGUACAUUUGACUGUAUCAAAAUAUACAACUCACGAUGUUGGGAUAAUGAUAAUCUCAAGUCUGAGGAUCAUAUACAUAUUAAUCACUAUGAGUAAUGUUGUGACACAUAAUAAUCCAAGAAACAUACUCAUAGCGGGUCAGUCUAAUAUGUUGUUCUCUAACACACAUAUUCAUGCAUUGAUUCUGACACUCCAUAUCAAUGACAACUCUUUAUCAUCAAUCAACUACAUGUUAGUCUUAAUGUAUUAUUGUUGUCCUAGUGAACAAUAAUACUUGACUAAGGACCUUUUAAGAAUAAUCAUAUUAUUCUCAGGACAUUAUUAUAAAACAGUUUAUUUAUACACACAGAAAAGAAACUGAAAUAAUAAUGGCAACACCUUAUAUUAAUAAACAUGGUAAAUCAAGUAUGUUAUUACAACCAUUUCAUGAUUGAUCUUUGGGCAUACUCUUACAGUUCACACCGUUGUAAAAAGUCUGAACCUGUAGCCAUAAAGGUAACCCAUGGUGAGGGCACCUUCUUAAUAAACCCUUGUAUCUCUCCCAUGCAUCAAAAAGUGUUUCUAAAUCCAUCUGCACAAAACAAGAUAUAUUAUUCCUCAAUUUAGCCGUUUUAGCCGGCGGAAUAUAUUUAAGCAAAAAAAUUUCAGUCAUUUGUUCCCAAUUGGUGAUUGACCCUCGUGGUAACGAGUUUAACCACUGUUUAGCGUUAUUUCUCAAUGAAAAGGGAAACAACCAAAGAUGAAUGGCAUCGUCAGAAAUGCCAUUAAUCUUAAAAGUGUCGCAUAAUUCCAUAAAAUUUGCCAAAUGAGUAUUUGGAUCCUCAUCUUGCAAACCAUCAAACUGAACAAACUAUUGUAUCAUUUGAAUUGUGUUAGGUUUCAGUUCAAAAUUAUUUACAGCAAUAGCAAGUCUAACGAUACUCGAUUCAGUUCCUGUUAAAUUAGGUUUAGCAUAAUCAUACAUAGUACGAGGAGCAGGGUUCUGAUCUAUUGGAUUUGCGGCAACCACAGGAGGUAACGGAUUAUUCUGAUUAUCAGCCAUCUCCUCGAUUGUAGUAUGGAUACUGACCUCUCGCUCUUCCUCUAUGUAUUGUAAGCUUCGCCUUAUUUCUCUUCGAUUUUUGCGAGCUGUGCAAUUUCGCUGUCAAAAAGUAAAGGUCCUGACGAGUUCCUCUUAGUCAUCAACUAUAAAAACCUGCCAGAAGCAAACAAAAGAAAAACUUAGAAAAGAAAAAUUUAACUGAAAACAAAAAAUAAAUUGCAAUAAAAGUAAAAAUGGCUAAAGUAAUAAAAAUCAAAUGUUCCUAAUAUCUUAUUCCCCGGCAACGGUGCCAAAAACUUGAUGGCCGUGUCACUAACUAAAAAUUCGAAUAAGGCAAGCACACCUAUCAAACAGUAGUAUAGUUAUGGUGAGACCAGAAAUAUCGUAUCCACGAGGACUAAAAGUACUAGUAAUUACUAUCUUAUUAUUAUCUAGCCUAAAGAUUAAGAGAAUGUUUUAUCUAAACCUAAUUAUCUAAUUAACUAAGAUUACAAUAGAAAUUGAACUUCGAAAAUACUUUUUAGAAAACCGAUGGAGAAGACAAUACCCAAGGAAGCAUCCACCUAGACUUCACUUAUUACCUUUGAAUUAGACGACUUAUUCACUUGACUUAAUCCGUAGAAAUCCCUGAUUUAUGUUAAUAUCCCUUUCAAGACUAAAAACAACUGACUCUAGGUUGAUUAAUUGAAAUCUCUUUCUAAUUAAAACCCCUAUUGUCGCAUUAACUCGAUCUAUGGAUUCCCUUCUUAGAUUUAUGUCGUCCUAUCUCUAGGAUUGCAUCCAACUCCGCUUAAUUAUGAAGGAUCUGCUCUUAAACAGAGACUUUUGCUCCACUGAUUAAGCACAUCAAAAACCUGAAUUAAUAUCCUGGAAUAUUAAAGCAAUGAUUAAAACUCACAAUUAAGAAUAAGAACAAAUAUUUAUCAUAUAAAUCAAAGAGUAAUAAGAUUCAUCCUAGGUUUUAUCUCCUUUAGGUAUUUAAGGAGUUUAGUUCAUAAUAAUAAUGGAAAACAUCUCAAAGUUUGGAAAAUAACAAAACAUAAAGAAACCCAAAGAACUCCUAGUAGAUUGAGUGGAAGUCUUCAGUCUUGUUGUAGCUCCUGCCUUUAAGAUGAUUCUGAUGGCUAUCCUUAGGUAUUUUCUACUUUCCACUCUACGUGUCCCCUUUGAUCCUCUUCUACGGGUUUAAAUAGACUUUGAAAAGCCCAAAAUAGACCAAAAUUAGCCUUUUCUGAAUAGAAUUAGACUUAGGUAUAACAGGGACACGGCCGUGUGACACCCCCGUGUGAAGGUGCUUAAGCCGUGUGCAAUUCUAAAUUGGUUUUUAGUCGACACGACUGAUAAACGCCAAAUUAUACAUAUUUAUACCCCAAAUACUUAGCAUAUUUAUGGAUGUUUAUUACUAGAUUUGUGGAUUUUGGUGCUCUUAAUCCGGUUAUUUCAUGUUUUGUACUCAAGAGAGCACCAAGAGUCAAAAGGAGCCAAAAACGAGCAAAAAAGGGACAAAACAAACCAAAUCGAAAAGAUGACACGGCCUAAGCCUUGCCACACGGACAUCUCACACGCUCGUGGCCUUAGAGGGUGUCAACCAAGGUUUACACGAUUCACACGGCCUGGCCAUUAAGCCCAUACGACCGUGUGCAAUUUAACGGAUCGAACACGGCCUGGCAAUCACGUCACACGGUCGUGGCACACGGGCAUGUCCCUUUUUCAAAUAUUUGUAUUUUACACAGAAAAGGGUACUUAGGGAGGAAGAAAAGUCAAUCCAAAGCCUAUAUAAACACCCUAAGUGUGACUUAAAAAGGGGGCUUCUUCCAGAACUUUUCUGGAAUACAGAACCACACGCUGGGAAUUACUUGAAGGAAGCCAGACGAUCCAUCCCAAAAUCCGGAGCUACUCCAAGACUAAAGAUCUCCCUCAGAAUUCCUUUAGGGGAUUUUUCUUCAUGUUUUGUUAUUUUUAUACUUUUAAGAUAUACUCUUAUUUUAUUAUGAGAUAAACCCCUUAGAUGCCUAAGGGGGAUAAAACCUAUGAUGGAUCUUGUUAUUAUUAUCUGAACUGUAUGAUAAAUACUUGAUUUGUUCUUAAUUAUGUGUUCUUAAUGCUUGAGUUAAUAUUCCAGGUAUUAAUUCAAGAUUUGAUGUGCUUAUGCAGAGGAGGAAUAGACCCUGCCUAAGAGUAGAUUUGGCAUAAUUAAGCGGAGUUGAUCGAACACCUAGAAAUAGGGUUACGAGAUUUUACCGGAUUAGGGUGAAACCUAAUAUGGGAGUCCAUUGAGUGAUUUACUGCUUCCCUAGGGGUUUUAAUUAAGAAAGAAAUUUUGAUUAAUUCAACUGAGGGUUAGACGUUAUUAGUCUUGAAAGGGAUAAUAACAUAGGUUAGGGAAUCUCACGGAUCAAGUCAAGUGAAUAAAUCGUCUGGUUUAGAGUCAGAUAACAAGUGACAUCUAGGUGGAUUCCUCCUUGGGUGUCGUUUUUAUCAAUUGCUUUUCUUCAAGUCUUUUUCCAAAUUUUCUCUUUGCUUUAAUUAAAUUAGUUAAUUAGUUUAGAUAAUCAGCUUGAUAAACAAACCCUUUUAUUCUUAGGCUAGAUAAUAAAAAGAUAGUUAUUACUAGUACUUUUGGUUCCCUUGGGUACGAUAUCCUGGUAUUGCCAUUACUAUACUAUUGUUCGAUAAGUGCGCUUGCCUUUUCGUCCUGAUAAUAGUUAGUCUAGGUUUGAUCUUCAUUAUAAAUAUUUAUUACUUGUUACAAAUCACGCCAUCAAGUUUUUGGCGCCGUUGUCGGGGAAUACAAAAUAUUAGGAACGUAAAAUUUUUAUUACUUUAGUCGUUUAUUCUUUUCUUGCAAUUUAAUUUUAGUUUUUAUUAUUAUUAUUUAUUAAUUUACUUAUUUUUUCUCUUGGCAGGUUUUUAUAGUUUAUGACUAGAAGAAACCCGUCAGGACCAUUACUUUUUGACGAAGAAAUCGAUCAUACAAGUUGUAAAAAUCAAAGAGAAAUAAGGUGCAGCUUACGAUAUACGGACAACAAGCAAGAAGAUGAUACUCGACCCCCACCGACGAGAUGGAUGAAAACCAAGGCAAUCAGUUACCUCCCGCAAUUACGACUAAUCAAAAUCCUGCUCCAUGUACUAUGUAUGAUUAUGCUAAACCUUUUUUAACAGGAACUGAAUCUAGUAUAGUUAGACCUGCAGUAGCUGCAAAUACUUUUGAGUUAAAACCUAACACUAUUCAGAUGAUACAGCAGUUUGUUCAGUUUGAUGGUUUGCAGGACGAAGAUCCCAACUCUCACUUAGCAAAUUUCCUGGAAUUUUGCGAUACAUUCAAAAUCAAUGGCAUUUCUAAUGAGGCCAUACGUCUUCAGUUGUUUCCCUUUUCACUGAGAAACAAAGCUAAACAGUGGCUAAAACGAGAAAUUUUUACUAAAAUAUUUUUCGUCGGCUAAAAUGGCUAAAUUACGUAAUGAUAUCUCUUUUUUUGUGCAGAUGGAUUUAGAAACACUUUACGAUGCAUGGGAGAGAUACAAGGACUUACUGAGAAUGUGCCCUCACCAUGGGUUACCGCUUUGGCUUCAAGUACAAACAUUCCACAAUGGUCUGAAUCCCUCGACUUGGCAAAUGGUUGACGCAGCUGCUGGCGGGACCAUCAACAAUAAAACACCAGAAGAUGCAUAUGAGUUUAUAGAGGAGAUGUCAUUGAAUAACUAUCAGUGGCAAGUUAUGAGGACAAAGCCAACGAAAACAGCUGGCGUUUAUAACAUCAAUUCGGUUACCAUGCUCUCUAAUCAGGUAGAACUUCUCAAUAAAAAGAUUGACGAUUUACUUGGUUCUACGCAGGUACAUCCAGUAAUGAGGUGUGACUCAAGUGGCGGAGGUGUGGAUACAAAAUACCAAUCCUUCAAUCCUACAACUAAAGAAGAACAAGUCAACUAUAUGGGUAACAAUAACUUCCGAUCUCAAAAUAACCCAUACAGUAAUACUUAUAAUGCAGGUUGGAGGAACCACCCAAAUUUCUCCUGAGGUGGUCAAGGGAAUCAAAAGCCACAAAAUCCUCAGGGUUUUCAACCGCCACCUUAUCAACAAGAGAAGAAACCGAACCUUGAGGAGAUGCUCUCAAAAUUCAUAUCAAUAUCAGAAACCUGUUUCCAAAAUACCGAGACAGCACUUAAGAAUCAACAAGCAUCGAUCCAAGGACUCGAAACUCAGAUAGGCCAGCUAUCCAAACUAAUCUCCGAACGACCACAAGGUAGCUUACCAAGUAAUACUGAACCUAAUCCGAAGGAACACCUCAAUGCAAUUAGUACUCAAAAUAAGGAAGGAUUCAUUGCACCGGAGCCAGAAUUCAGCAAGACAACGCGAUGAACAAAGGUCGAGAAGAGGUAAAUGAUGAUGAUCCUAAACAGGUAAGUACGAAUUAUGAACCUCGUGUGCCAUAUCCUAAAGCGAUGACGAAAGACAGAACAGAAGAACAAUUCAGAAAGUUUGUCAAACUCUUAAAGAAAUUACAUAUUAACUUACCCUUUAUUGAAGUUCUGUCGCAGAUGCCCAGCUCAGCAAAAUUCUUAAAGGAACUUCUGAGCAAUAAAAGAAAUUAGACGCUACAUCACAUGUGGAACUCAGGGCAGUCUGCUCAGCUAUUCUAAAGAAUAAGCUACCUAACAAAUUGAAAAAUCCAGGGAGUUUUACAAUCCCUUGCUUAAUUGGAAGUUUGUCUGUGAAUAAUGCUUUAGCUGAUCUAGGGGCAAGUAUAAAUCUUAUGCCAUAUAACAUGUUUAAACGACUAGGUCUCGGUAAACCCAAACAGACUAGGAUGAGCAUACAAUUGGCUGACAAAACAGUUAGAUUUCCUAAGGGUAUUAUUGAAGAUGUUCUCGUUAAAAUUGAUAAAUUUAUUUACCCAAUAGACUUUGUCGUCUUAGAUAUAGAUGAGGAUAAUGAGGUACCUUUAAUUUCAGGACGACCCUUUUUAGCAACUGCCAGAACCAUUAUUAAUGCAGGCACAGGAGAGCUAACACUUCGUAUAGGAGACGACGCAGUAACACUCCAAGUAUGCGACUCAGUCAAAACCUCUAAGACUCAAUAUAAUGCUAUGAAACUUGUCGAUGACAACACUAAUAUUCAAUCAUUCUUGCAGAAACCUCCUCGAACCAAGACAACAGAGACAGUGCGCUAUUAUCAAGUAGCAAAAAAAGACACCCAUGAGGAACGAAGGCUUCAAAUAGAGGAGCUAGAUGAAUGGCGAGCACACAAACCGAGAACACAUGAUAAACCAAAACUACGCCAAAACAAGCCCAAUACCUCUCUUAAUCAACUUAAGGUUGGCGAUAAAGUCUUACUAGAUGCCGCAGAUCCCCACAUUAUCACUACCAUACCAAAUGAGGAAAUCCCUAUUACGGUACUCAGUAUUUUUCCAUUCGGUACGGUGGAGGUGAGUCAUCCCGAGUUCAGCACUUUUAAGGUAAACAACACCCGAUUAAAACCUUAUUUUAAGAUUGACAGCAGGAAUGAGGAGUAUGAACUCCUCAAACCACCAUGAUCAUUCAACGGAGAGGUAAGUCGAGCUUAGACUAUAAAUAAGUACCUCUCGGGAGGCAACCCGACCACUAACAUAUUUUGAUUUCUUUAUUUUUAAUUUCUAACACUUUGAAUCAUUAACUUAAUCUUUGAACUGCAAACUUUUUCAGCACACACGGCCAGGAACACGGGCGUGCCUAAAGCCAUGACCAAACAGGGGAAGAGACACAGCCGUGCGAUACGGUCGUGUGGAAGUAGGACAUGAUUUCCCCAAAACAAGGGGUGUGAUAAAUCCCCAUGGCCGUGUGACAUGGCCGUGAGUAAACUUGAUAGGAUACCACAGGCGUGGGAAUGGAAAACCACGAGCGUGCUAGGACAAGGCUCGAUUCUGUUUCUUCGACAUUGGCGUGCGACACGCCCGUAGCAUUCAACCAUGUACAACAAUACACGAGCAUGCUACCAUAAAACAUAGGCGUGAGAGAAGCGAACAAAGCUAGGCACGGCCGUGCGACAUGGCCAUUCUAGACACACGGGUGUGGGAUAGUAGCCGGGCACGACCUAAAUCGCAAAAUUCAAAAAACACAGGCUCACCCUCAAAGAACACGGGCGUGACCCUAGGCCAUGUGAACCUCCCCUAUAUAAGCAAACCACUAUUCAUCUUCUUCCCCUUUUCAAAACCCUAGCUGAAAUCUACCCUUCCCCAUUCCCUAACCCCUAUUCCGGCCAUCAUUCCCCCGAUUCUCACUUCUCCAACCCCCAAACCACCUCAAAUCCACUCCCCUUGUAUUAAUCCCCACUUUCCCCUCUCUACACCCUCUAUUUUUCCUCCACACGGCUAUAUCCCCGCAUCACACGCCCGUGCUCGCCAUCAACACGCUCGUGCGCAGCCCUACAGUACCUUUGGCUCACUUUCUCAACCUUAUUUUUCCAAUUUGUGUUGCUACAUUAGUAUUAUACAUGCUUUACAUAGAUAUUGUUACUCUUACAAAUAUGUUUUAGACAAUUAGGAAUUUUCUUUAGAAUUUUCGAUAUUUGAAUUGUUUAAGCUACUAAAUAGCAUAUACUAAUUUUAGGCCUCUUGCUAAACUACUGAUGUAUCUUGGAUUCUAUCAAUGCUCAUGUAUUUUCUGGAAAAUUAUGUCGUUAUCGAGAGGCAAGAACGCCGCGGCCCAUUCUCAAAGAGACGCAGGGGACCUGGUUCUUCCUCGGUACGUGCUACAGCCGAAGUUCGGCACCCGUUCCUUGAAUUUUCGCAAGCUUCACAGGUUGAGUUAUUUCAGAUACUACACGCGCGACCCCUCACAACAGGUCGCUGCAUUGACUGGGCUGCCGUAGAGCAAGUCCAGCUAGAUGAUGCUAUCUGCGCCCUCCUGUCCACAAACUCAUGGGAACGGUUCUUCGCUAUUACCAAGCCCACUUAUUUAGAGCUAACUUUAGAAUUAUGUUCUACUUUUCAUUUACUGGUAGUGAUGACGAACAAUGACGACCCAGGCACAAUUCACUUCCGAUUAGGCGGUCUAGUUCACGCAAUGAGUGUCCCAGAGUUUGGAGUCUGUGUGGGACUUUACACUGAUGAGUUUAUAGAGGAGGAGGACAUGAAUGCACUACCACGCAAUAUCCAUAUUUCUCCCUCUUUGUGUUGGAAGGCUUUGGCACCACUCUCCUCCACCUACGACCCCAGCCGUUCGAAGGCCUCAGCCCUCCCCCCUUCCCUACGAUAUCUCUAUGCCAUAUUGGUACACACAUUGACCGGAAGGAGAGAGAACACUAGCGUCAUCAACACCCACGACGCCUACUAUUUAUGGUGCAUGGUGAAUGCACACGUGACUGACUUGGCAUACUUCAUUGCUUUCGCCAUUCGCCAUCAGACCGAGCAGUAUAGGAAGGGAGUGAUCUCCAUCGGCCCCUACGUGACGCGCCUUGCCAAACACUUCGGCCUCCUCAACACCGUGGCCCAGUCAUUAGCGCUUACAUUGGUAGGUCAGAUGUCCCCAUAGGGCAUCACGACUAUGUUACACAUGAAGAUGAUUGAGCGCCGCGGUGGGACCGACCCUCCUCAGUACCGUCUCACUCAUGCCAUUGACGAGGAUGAUCUAGAGGACAUCCCUGAUGAUGUCCCCCCACAUCACGAGGAGCCUUCUACCACGCCACCUAGAGGGCGACCAGUUCAUGCAGCUACUUCAUUGGCGUACCUUUCUGACUGACUCGCUCACUUCGAGCAGUAUUGCAUUACACAGUUCGAUAUGAUUCACGAGCGAGAUCGACGAUGUGUGUAACAGCCCGAUUUUGACUCUAAUUGGACAUAGUGGUUUCGGGACCACAAAUCCGAGUCUGAAAAAUAUUUUAAUAUUAUUUUGUGUGUUUAUGAUGUGUGAAUUUAAAUGUGUGAAAGUUUCGUGAAUUAAUUUUGUUGUUUAUGUGUUUAAUUGACAAAAGUAUCAAAUUGCAUAAAAUGUGAAGUUUGAUUAUUAAUGUGUAAAGUGCUUAUUUGAUGGUGGCUUUUAAAUAUGAGGUUCUUAAAGGGCAAUUAGCCCAUUUUAAAAGAUAGUGGACGGCAAUGAUAGUUAAUAUAUACUUUUUAUAUAUUAAAUAUAAAAGUUAUAAUAGUAAUAGUAUAAUAUUAUAUUAUUAUAUCAUUAAAACAUAAAAGAAAUAAGUUUUUUUUCUUUCUUCAUUGUUUGUAUCACCGAAACAAAAAGAAAGAAACUUUGUUCUUCAAGCUUUAGCAUUCGGCCAUCUUAGGGAUUUCAAUUCAAGGUUAGUUUGAUUUUAGUUUUUUAUAAUUUUUACGUUUUUGAGAUCGUUGCUUUGAAUACUUCAAAACCCAUGUCUUAAUUUUGUGAAUUGAUGAAUAUUUUGAAUUAUGCCAUUGAUGAAUAUUUGUGUUUUGGGAUGUUUGAUGAUGAAUAAUGGAAGAUAUGUCUUAGAUUAACAUGUUUUGUAUUGGUAUUUUUGAUGAAUUUGAGUAUUUAGGGCUAAAUUGUGAAAAUAAAUUUUUUGAGGGACUAAAAUGUGAAAUAAAUGCAAUGUGUGGACUUGUAUGAGAACCAUGAAUAUUCGGCCCUUGUGUGUUAUGGGCAAAUUUUAUGUAUUUUGUGUUUUGUGCAAAAAGGACUAAAUUGCAAAAAGUGUAAAAUGUUAGGGCCAAAAUGGUAAUUUUCCCAUUUAUGUAUUGUUGGACUCAAAUGAAUGUUUUGAUGAAUAAAAAGGUUAAAUUUGACUAUGUUUAGAUCAAGGAACGAAGAAAACGAAUUUGGAUCGGGGGAAGUCGAAGAUAAUCGAAUAGUCGAUCGUGUUUGCUGAUAUCCGAGGUAAGUCUAUUAGCAACUAAAAGUUAUUAAGUUAAUAUUUAUACAUGCAUACUAAUUUUUAUCUUAUGAUUGAGCUAUAAUUUAAAGUAUAAUAGUUGAAUAAACUUUGGACUAUAGAUAUUGUAUAUAACAUGUUCGAAUAUACAAGUAUGAUCUUGUAUAAAUUAUUGGAUUAAUCAAAGGUAUGUAUAAGAUAUAGGUAUAUAUAUAUAUGGUUCGAAUGAUUAUUUAAGUAUGUAUAUAUAUAUAUAUAAAGUCGAAUAAGCAUGCAAAUAUACAUGUAUGUGUUGUGUAUUGAAUUUAGUUAUGUCAUUAUAUAAGUAUGCGAGGAUUGAUUGUGCAUUUAUAUAUGUACAAGUUUUUGUUUUGAAAUUGAGUAUGAAAUUAUACAUUCAUAUGGUAGAUUCGAAUAUGUAUAAAUGCACAUGUAUAAAUUCUUGAAUCGAAAUUUGGUAUGGAAUUAUAUAUGUAUGUGAAAGUUUCGAUUUUGUAUGUAUAUUCACGUAAAAGUUUUUGAAUGGUAGUGAAGAUAUGAAAUUGUUAGUUUGAAUUAUUAUAAAGUGAUUGAAUGUAAUACGGACGUUACGUCUAGCAGGCUUAAUGCCGGUGAAGUAAUUCAGACUUUAAGUCUAGCAGGCUUAAUGCCGGUGAUACAUUUCAGACUUUAAGUCUAGCAGGCUUAAUGCCGGUGAUACAUUUCAGACUAUAUGUCUAGCAGGCUUAAUGCCGGUGAUACAUUUCAGACUAUAUGUCUAGCAGGCUAAGUGCCGGUGUACUGAAUCAGGCUUUAAGCCUAGCAGGCAAAAUGCCGGUGAAUCUGUUUAAAUUGUGUUAGAAUAUGCAAUGGAUAUAUCUAUGAUUUGUGAUUAUAUGAAAUCGAUGAAUACAUAUGUACAUUAGAUAUAUGUGAUUGCUGAAUUUAUAAAUGCAUAUGGUGAUAUGUGGUAGUUAAACAUAUAUAUGUUGAGCCUAUGUGUUUGAUAAUUAAUCAUGUAUGCAUUUGAGAUAUAUAUAUAUGUGUGUAUUUCGAAUGUAUGUGUUACCUAGGUAUUCAGGUAUAAAUUCAUAAUGAGUAUAUUUAUAUACAAACAAAUAUAAGGUGUGAUUGAUGUAUAUAUAUUUGUGUUAGAUUUGAAUUGAUUUAGAACUUACCAUGAGUGUAUAUAUACAAUCGGUUUGAUAUGUAUAUAAUAUGUAUAUAUAUAUGUUCGGUGGUAUACAUUCAAUUGUAAUGUUGUUUUGUUUAAUAUAUAUAUUAAACUGAAUUCAUCCGACAGGUAUACAUAUCUGACUAUAAAUGAAAUAGUCUGAGUAGAAUAAUGUAUGAAUGUUAGUUGGUUGUGUUAGUUGAAAUUUCAGUAGAAUAGAUUAAAAAGGUUAUAAUAAUUAUGUGUUUAUAAUUAUACAUUUAGUUAUGCUGGAGACUUACUAAGCUAUAAAAGCUUACUUCGUUUGCUUUCGUUCAUUCGUUUUUAUAGAUUUGGAGAUGCGUUACGAGCUCGGGGAUCAUCAGCACAGUCCAUCACACUAUCGAUUUCUUUUGGUAUUUUGUUAAAUAUUUGAACUCGAUCUUAUGGCAUGUAUAGGCUUGAUAAUGUUUUGGUUAGUUUUGAAUCCUAUUGUGUAAAUAGCAAUGUGAAAAGAGUUUAGUUUCCAUGCUUGAAUUUGAUUAUAUAUGUUCAUGAAUUGGACUUGUUUUUGGAAUUAGAUAUUAAAGUUAUGUUUAUGUGAGCUUGGUUUCGUAAUGCCUCGUAACCCUGAUUCGGCGACGGAGACGGGUUAGGGGUGUUACAAUGUGACAGACAGAUGGACGACAUGCAGGCCAUGAUGCAGUAGUUGUGCCAAUACUUCCACAUCGCCACUCCAGCGCCACCACCUGAGGGCCCCACUAACAAGGAUCAUUGAAUCCUCCUAUCUUUUUAUUCUUAUUUUUAUUUAUUUUAUUUUAUUUAUUUUUCUUUUUUAUUUCUAUUUUCAUUUCUAUUUUAUUAUUUUAUUUUGAAAGACAUAUCUAUAUUAUUAAAUUUUAAUAUUUUUCAUUUUCUGGUAUUUCUAACAAGUAAUCCCACUACGCUCUCUUCCACACCAACUCUUAACAAGCUUUUCAUGAUUCUACAGACUUCCAAGCAAAGCUACUAGGAAUAUUUUACGGAAUGAGAAAACAAAUGGGAAACAAUACCUCACGAUUGCCAUGUUCAACGCCUCAAUUUCUUCAUUUAGCUAAGAACAAUGGCAGCUACUACCUUCCCCAAACACUCCAGCGUCAGAAUCAAGCUCCGCAUCCAUAUAACAGGGAGUUUCACCUCCUUUCUUCUUAUGAUUUUCUUUAUUUUGAAUAAUCUAUCUUUGUACAUUGAGGGCAAUGUACAUCUUAAGUGGAGGGUGAACAUGAAACCCAACUUUUUGCAUUAUUCUCAAAUCCCUGAAUUUAGUCUUGUGCUUAAGUGAUUUUCUCAUAAUAUUGAUAGAAUGAAUUUUGAUUGAUCCAUAAUUAUUGUUGAUAUGUCAUGAAUUAGACCAAGGUAAUUAUGCAUGAUUAUUUGAUUAUAGGACAUUAAAGAAUCGGGCAUGAUAAGUUGAUAUUUUGAGAAAUAAAAAUUUUAGACUAUUUUUCCUAAAUUGAGGGAAAUCUUAAGUAUACAGGAAUGACAUCAAAAACCCAAAUUUUUGGUGAGAUUUUUUAGCCUUUUGAGCAUAUAGCUUUCUUUUUUGCUCACUUCUUUUGUGGUUUGAUUGUGUCAACAUUGAACUGUUAUUCUAGAACUUGCUUCAAUUAUACAUGUCGAGAUCACACGUAUGAUUUGAGAUACUGAGAUGAUAAAGGCACUUAGGAUUUAACCCACUACUCCAUAAAAAGCCUUCCCACAUAAUUAAACCCGUAGUGAACCCCCUUUGAGCCUACUAACUUUUUUUUAUUGAUUAACCCUCAUCAUUAACCCAUUAACCCAUUAUUGUUGAAAUCCUCUUACUUAAUUUGACCCUUUUUAUCGAGAUUGAAUUUAGCAUUGUUAGCUCACUAUGUUUACCAUUUUUUGUUACUGAAUCACGAAGUAUGAUUUCUAUAUUGUAUUGACCUGAUUUGUUCUUAAAAAAAACGCAGUAUUAUUCUUGUAAUUCUCAGCAACCUAAAAUUGUCAUGAACUCAUGUAAAAUAGUUCUAGAUAUUUGUUUGUGGUUCAGUAAUUAAGUUUUUGAUAGUGGGGUAAUAUAUUAAAAUUAUCUCGAUUCUAACCCUUGUCUCUUCAGCUUGUAUCCAUACCUGUUACCUAAACCCCAUUACAACCAUGCAAAGACCUUUUGAUUAGUGUAUCAAAUCAUUUACAAGUGGUGGAGAUUUGAUUUUCAUGCAAGCUUAUGGUAAUAAAUUUUCAUGUUAGACAAUCAAGUGCUUAAUCUUGAACCUUAAACACUUUGAGUGAUUUGAGUGAAUCUUUAAUGAGGAUGUCAUCUCUUGUAUAUUUAGAACUAAAGUUAAUUACUUGAAGGAAGGAGAUUACCUAUAAUUUUAUAAUCAAAAUAUUUGAUUUAGAUUGUUUGAGGCUUCUAAUGCCCCUAUAGUUGAAUUCUCAUUGUAUGAUUUUCCGUGGAAUAAUUUGUAACAUUAUCAGUAAUGCUUAUAUGAUUGAAAGGAAUGAAUUCUAACAGUAAAUGAGAAUUUUGCUUGAGGACAAGCAAAUGCUUAAGUGUGGGGGUAUUUGAUAAACGCCAAAUUAUACAUAUUUAUACCCCAAAUACUUAGCAUAUUUAUGGAUGUUUAUUACUAGAUUUGUGGAUUUUGGUGCUCUUAAUCCGGUUAUUUCAUGUUUUGCACUCAAGAGAGCACCAAGAGUCAAAAGGAGCAAAAAACGAGCAAAAGAGGGGACAAAACGGACCAAAUUGAGAAGAUGACACGGCCUAAGCCUUGCCAUAUGGGCAUCUCACACGCCCGUGGCCUUUGGGGGUGUCGACCAAGGUUUACUCGAUUCACAUGGCCUGGCCAUUAAGCCCACACGGCCAUAUGCAAUUUAACAGAUCGAACACGGCCUGGCAAUGACGUCACACGGGUGUGUCCCUUUUUCAAAUAGUUGUAUUUUACACGGAAAAGGGUACUUAGGGAGGAAGAAAAGCCAAUCCAAAGCCUAUAUAAACACCCUAAGUGUGACCUAAAAAGGGGGGCUUCUUCCAGAACUUUUCCGGAAUACAGAACCACACGCCGAGAAUUACUUGAAGGAAGCCAGACGAUCCAUUCUAAAAGCCGGAGCUACUCCAAGACUGAAGAUCUCCCUCAGAAUUCCUUCAGGGGUUUUUAGAGUUUUCUUCAUGUUUUGUUAUUUUUAUACUUUUGAGAUGUACUCUUAUUUUAUUAUGAGCUAAACCCCUUAGAUACUUAAGGGGGAUAAAACCUAUGAUGGAUCUUGUUAUUAUUAUCUGAACUGUAUGAUAAAUACUUGAUUUGUUCUUAAUUAUGUAUUCUUAAUACUGGAGUUAAUAUUCCGAGUAUUAAUUCAUGAUUUGAUGUGCUUAUGCAGAGGAGGAAUAGACCCUGCCUAAGAGUAGAUUUGGCAUAAUUAAGCGGAGUUGAUCGAACGCCUAGAAAUAGGGUUACGAGAUUUUACUGGAUUAGGGUGAAACCUAAUAUAGGAGUCCAACGAGUGAUUUACUGCUUCCCUAGGGGUUUUAAUUAAGAAAGAAAUUUUGAUUAAUUCAACUGAGGGUUAGACGUUAUUAGUCUUGAAAGGGAUAAUAACAUAGGUUAGGGAAUCUCACGGAUCAAGUCAAGUGAAUAAAUCGUCUGGUUUAGAGUCAGAUAACAAGUGAAAUCUAGGUGGAUUCCUCCUUGGGUGUCAUUUUUAUCAAUUGCUUUUCUUCAAGUCUUUUUCCAAAUUUUCUCUUUGUUUUAAUUAAAUUAGUUAAUUAGUUUAGAUAAUUAGCUUGAUAAACAAACCCUUUUAUUCUUAGGCUAGAUAAUAAAAAGAUAGUUAUUACUAGUACUUUUGGUUCCCUUGGGUACGAUAUCUCGGUCUUGCCAUUACUAUACUAUUGUUCGAUAGGUGCGAUUGCCUUUUCGUCGUGAUAAUAGUUAGUCUAGGGUUGAUCUUCAUUAUAAAUAUUUAUUACUUGUCACGAAUCACACGAUCAACAGCCAUGACACACGGGCGUGUGGCCUACCCGUGUGCCUCACACGGACAUAUGGUUUACUCGUGUGGAAACACCUGGCCGUGUGAAACACUGAAUUAGGCCAAUUUGGUUCCUUUUUUGGCCUUUUCUUACUCUUUUCGCCUUCCUAUGCUCACCUAAGUAUAAAACAUGAAUUUAAAGGAUUAGGAUCAUUGAAUUCAAUAAAACCAAGGAAAAAUCAUCCAUAAAUAUGCUAGACAUGGGGUAAAAAUAUGUAUAUAUUAUGGUUUAUCAGUUAGCUAAAAUCAUGGUUUAAUAUCUAAUUGUGAUUUUGCUUCUGGGUUAUCCUAUUUUUUUAGCUAAAGUUGUUGUAGUUUCAGCCUAUAUAAAGGAUGUAAAUCAGUGAAUAAAAAGUGUCUUGAGUUCCUAUUUUUCAUUGAGUCUUUUGUAUACAAUUCAUAAAGUGUUACUGAGUGAGCUUCUUUUGUUUUUUUUUACAGCAAAUCUUCCCAUUUAGUCUAACAGUAUGGUAUCAGCGCCAGGUUCGUGAAGAUAAUUAUGGUUGAUUUUUCAGUUGGGAAACAUGGGAAACAUGUAUGAAGUCUUACUUGCAGGCUUAAGAUGUGUGGGACAUUGUUAGCUGAGAUGAGCCUUCACCUUACCUCAAGAAGCUAACAGCUUAAAGAAGUGGAAGGCCAGUGUUGGCAAGGCUAUUUUUGCAGCUAAAACCACUAUAGAGGAAGAAAUGUUAGAGCAUAUCAGAGACGCUGACACACUAAAACAAGCGUGGGACACGUUGGAAGAACUUUUCUCACAAAAAAAUGACACAAGGCUACAACUCUUAGAGAAUGAAUUGUUAUUAAUGAAACAAGGAGACUUGGCGAUCAACCGGUACUUCACUAAAGUAAAAACCUUAUGCCAUGAGAUUUCUGAACUUGAUCUAGUUCCCGUAUUGCGGAUUCUAGAAUAAAAAGAAUCAUCAUUCAUGGAUUGAGACUGAAGUACAGGAGUUUUGUUGCUACAAUUCAAAGAUGGCCAACACAACCAUCGCUUGCAGAUUUUAAGAAUCUGUUGACGGGUCAAGAGGCUUUGGCAAAACAAAUGGGUGAAGUCUCAAUCAAAACUAAGGAUGUGGCAUUUUUAGUGGAAAGAGCAAAGAAAAACCUAGGUAUAAUGUCAGAAGCAGACCAAGAAAAGAUUAUUGCAAAUCAGAAAGCCAUCAUGGGAGUUCUUAAUUUGGAGAAACUUAAAAGCGUAGCAACUAAAACAACCGAUUCAACCAGAGGAAAAAGUUUGAUGGUGAUAACUAUAAUUGCGACAAAAAGGGCCACAUGGCCAAAGACUGUUGGUCCUAGAAGAAAGUUGUUGAGAGUAAUGUAGUGACAUCUAAAGGAGAUGUUCAGAAUGAUGAUGAGUGGGAUGCUGAAGCAUCCUUUUCUGUGGAAGAAGAAGACUUGGCACUCGCAGUAACAACUUCCUAGAAGAUUAACUAUAAGAACGACUGGAUUGUUGACUCUAGUUGUUCUAAUCACAUGACCGGUGAUCAAGAAAAGCUUCAAGAUGUUACAUUGUAAAAAGGAAAUCGUGUGGUGGUAACGGCUAACAACUCAAGGUUACUUAUCACCCAUGUUGGUAAGACGACUAUCGCACCUCGAUUUAGUUCUGAUCCAAUGUCAAUUCAAGGUGUUUAUCAUGUGCCUGAUGUAAUAGGUCAAUUUUGGCCUGGGCCCGAAAAUAAUAAACUUAAACCCAAAUUAACAAUCCAUUUAUAACAGUCCAAUUACAAUGGCCUAAUAUCGCCCAAAACUAAAUUAAACCCUAGCCCACAACAUUUUCACCUAAACAAAAUAGCAAACCCUAGAACCUAGGCCUCCCCUUUGGCCAGCGCCGCACAUCAGCAGAACUUCCACACGCGCCACCUGUAAUAUCCUGAAUUAGGGCUUAAUCAGAAUAGUGGUUUCGUGACCACAAAUCCGAGAUAGAAAUAAUUAUUUUACAAUGAUUUUGAUGUUUAUGAUAUGAUUGCAUGAUUGUGUGAAAAUUUCGUGAUGAAAUUCUAUGCCUAAAGUGCUUAAAUUGAAAGUAGGGACUAAAUCGAAUAAGUUGCAAAACUUGUAUUCUAGAAGUUUUUAGUAUGAAAUUGUUUUGGAAUAUUAAUGAGGAGGUCUUAAAUAGCAAUUUGACCAAUUUUAAGUUCAUGGACAAAAUUAGGACAUGGAAGGAAUUUUUGGAAAGUUUAGUAGUAAGGGUAUUUUGGUCAUUUAGUUAUUAAAAUGAAUUAAAAACAAAAUUAAAAGCCAAUUUUUGUCCAUCUUCUUCAUUAGGCCGAAAUUUCAAGGGUUCUCCAUAGCUAGUGUUUGUUUCAAGCUUCCAAGCUCCAUAGUAAGUGAUUCCAAGCCCCGUUUUUAAUGUUCUUUACGUUUUUAGAAUCCCGGAAGCUCGAUUAAGCUUAUGCUAGCAAUAAUUCAACCUAGGGUUUAUAUUUGGAAAAAUACCCAUAGGUGAAAUUUGUGUAUUUUGAUGUUUUAUGAUAGAAUAUGGGGUUUUAAAUUAUGUUAGACAACUUGUGCUACGCGGUUUUUAGUGAAAACGAGUAAAAGGGCUUAAUCGGCAAAAAUACCUAAUAGUCACAAGUAUAUGUUAGAGAGAGAAUUUGAUGUUGCCAUAGAAGGGAAAAGUGAUCAGCAUGUUAUAAAACAUAAGAAUAAGGAAUAAAGUUUAAUUCCCGAGCCUAGGGGCAAAAGUGUAAUUAUGCAAAAGUUUAGGGGAAAAAGUGUAAUUUUUUAAAGUUCGUAUUAAAUGUUGUUUUGAUGAAUAAUAAGAUUAAUUUGGUAUUAUAGAUCAAGAAAAACGAGAUUCAAGUCGUGAUCGAGGAAAAGAAAAGAUUGUGGACUAAAUUGCAAAAUCUUUAUAUUUUGGUACCAAGGUAAGUUCAUGUGUAAAUAAUGUAGCAUAAAUGUUAUUUUUAAGUUAUUAAUGUUAAUUAUAUGAUAUGCUGAUUUUUAAUCGUGAAAUAUUAUGCUUUGUGGUUAAUAUUGAGUAAUAUGCAAAUUAUGUUUACUACUUGAUAAAUAUGAAUUGCUACCGAGUAUCGGUUCCGAUAUUCCAUGGAAGACGGCAAAUGUGAGAUCGAGGGAAAAAGCCCGUUUGAACCUUAGGAAUAGAUUAGGAUACAAGUGACAUGUCACUAGGAUGGUUGAGCAUCCGAACUCGUUGAGUUGAGUCUGAGUUCACUUAUGGAUGCAAAUGUCCGAACUCGUUGAGUUGAGUCCGAGUUCGUGAGAUGUAACUAGGCAUCCGAACUCGUUGAGUUGAGUCCGAGUUCAUUUAUGGAUGCGAACGCCCGAGCUCGUUGAGUUGAGUCCGAGUUCACUUAGGGGCGGGUUACAUGAUUUCUUGAUUACAUAUGUGGCACUUAUGUGCAAAUUAUCCAUGUAUCCGAGUUAUAUUCCGAUGUGUUCAACGGGUGAAAUUUCUAGUUUAAUGGAAGAGCACUUAAGAUAUAAGUGACGUUUUGGGUAAGUGUUGUGAAAUGGACACUUUGGACAGGUAUGUUCUUAACCCUCGUGUUGAAAAUAGAUACAACAACGAUAAGGUGGUAAGAUGAUGAAUGAUGUUUAAAUAUGUGAUAUAUGUUUUGGUGGUACCAUGCUAAAGUUGUUUGGUAUAUUUGUAUUGUUAUGUUACUUGUUAUUUACAUAUGAACUUACUAAGCAUUUAUGCUUACUCCUUCCUUUUCAUUCACUGUAGUUUUGAACAAGCCAGCUCGAGAAUCGGGACGGGUCGAACGUUCGAUCACACUAUCCAAAGGACUUUUAUCUUGGUAAAUGGCUUGUACAACUACUUAAGUAUGGCAUGUAUAUCAAUAUACCUAUUUUGUGUAAAUAAUUUUAUGAUAUGGCCAUGUUUGGUUGAGAAAAUGUUUGAUAUUGAUAAGUCAUGGUGAUGGCUAAUUUAGAUCAUGUUUGAUAUCAUGGAAGUUUAACAGGUUAUCUAGUUCAUAAAAAUUCAUGGAAAGAUGAAACUUGCCUUAAAAUAGAAUAUUGCUGCAGCAAUGACAUGAAUUUGAAAAAAUCACUAAAAAUAGUAUAAAUGGAAAUAAAUGAUGAGUAAGUUAUGAAAUUCAAUCUUAAUGAGUCUAUUUUCAUAUGGAUUGAACAAAACAGGAAUAUAAAUUAUAUUUUAUGAGAUAUUUAAACUUUUGCGAAAUAGGGCUAGAGUGAUUUCUGGAUCCCCUGUUCUGACUUUAAAAAUUUAUAAUAAAUUUUACUAAAAUAAUUAUAAGUUAUUAUUUAUAUUUACAGAUUCAUUAUUGAGUCUAGUUUUAAUAGAAACAAACGUCAUAGUCAUUGAAAUUUUUUAUAGAGAUAUAUCUGAUUCGUAAUACACAGAGGUCAGAGCAGUCAAACCCUGAAACAGGGGAUACUUUAAUUAAUAAAGUGUACUAAUUGGCCCAAUAAAAAAUUCUAGAAAAAAAUUAGUAAAUAUAUAUAUGAGUCUAUAUUCAUGGAAAAUUUACGGAUCUUGAUUUUGAGUUUCGUAACUUGAGAUAUGAUUUUUCUUGUAACUGUGACGCGAAUAGCUAGAAAGCUGUGAAUGUAGAAACAAAUGAUUUGAAGUUCUUAAAUUGAUAAAUUAUGUUCGGUAACCCCUCAAGCUCGACUCCGGUGAUGGUCUCGGGCGUGGGGGCAUUACACCACCACGUCAACCUCCGUACACAGCUGGCCUCCAUACCUGCAAACAGGACAAAAAAGGACAACAAACACAAAAACAAUAGCAAAGCUUGUAUUUUUUUUCUUCUCUUCUUUCUUUUCGGCUAUAAAAGCCACAAGAAUAUUGAUGUAUUUUUUUACGAACACCAAAAUAUCAAAUAGAAAUCAGAUUAGAUAUUUUCGAAGGUGAUUUUUUUCUUUUCGCAUGGAUUCAUUUUUGUAAAAACAAAAAGGGGUUAAAAAGAACAAACCUUCUUAUUUCGUCGCCGAGAACAGUCGAGGUAGUCACUUCCGAUGAAAAGUGGCCAAAACCAAAUGUUUUUUCUACUUUUGGGUUAUUUUUGUGAAGAUUUCAGAAAUUUUGGGCCUGGAUCUAGGUUUAGGAGGGUUGAAAUAGCAAAAAUAGGGCAGCCCAAUGACCGGAGCUAGGCCAGAAUCUGAAAAGGGGAAGAGAGUUAAGAGCUUUACUUUUUUUUUUUGAAGAGGAAGGGCUAAAAUGAAUAUAUAAAAAAAUUUUGGGCUUAUAUAGCAUGUAUAAAAUGACGCCGUUUUGGCUUAGUACCUACUGACACUAAACGGCGUCGUUUUGUUAUGAAACAUAUCGAUCCGACCUGCUCUAUUUAGGGUCCGCUUGUUUUUGGGCAAAUGAUCUAUUUGCUUCAGGAGUCCUUCCGCCUUUUAAUUAUUUUGCAAUUUGGUUUUCUUUAUUUGCAUUUAAAUAGCAUACAUAUUAUGUGAUUAUUGAGAAUCAUUUUUUAGCAUAUUCAUAUUAUCGUUAUUCAUCAAUGUAACCUUUUUUUAUUAAUACAUUGUCUUAAUAUUGCAUUAAUUUUCCCCAAAUUCAAAAACAAGAAAACUUUUAAAAAUAGGUAAUAUUUCACAUUUUGAAGAUUCGAAAAAUCGUACCUUAACUUAUAGGGUUUCGAUUUUCUCAUUAAACCUAAAUAGCAAAUAUCCUUUCAAAUUUUAAAAUAUAUGGAUUUUUAAAUAAAAAUAAAAAUAAUAUUCCGUGUUUAGAAAGCCGAGAAGAUCGUGCCCUAACUUAAGGGGUUUCGAUUUUCCUCAUUAGAUCUAAACAACCGAAUAUCUUUUUAAAAAUCAAAGUACAAAUUUUAAAAUAAAAUGAUUAAAAGGCAAGCUUAUUGUUGAGGGUUCAAAUGUCGUGUCCUAACUCACGGGAUGUGGCAUUUUGUUAUCUCGAGACGAGAGGGCCUUUAAUUCUCGUUUUAAUUUAUCCAAGCAUUUUUUUAAGUCAACAUUAAUAAAAAAGGAAGGAUCGUAUUUAAAAUUCAUUUGGAUUUUCAACUUUUAACGUUAAGACAUUAACUAAUCAAUUAGGUACCAAUUUUGGGCGUUACGAGGGUGCUAAUCCUUCCUCGUACGUAACCAACUUCUGAACCCGUUUUCUCGAAUUUCGUAGGCCAAAAUUGUUGUUCUAGUAAAUCAAAACGUUUUCUUAAAACAAUCAAUCGUAAGGUGACCCGAUCACACCUCAUAAAAAAGAUUGGUGGCGACUCCCAUGUUCGUUUUCGCUUUCAAAAUAAAAGUCGACCGUUUUCAAAAACUGGUUUCGACACCUGGUGUCGAAACCAUUUUUUUAAAGGGAUGUUUAAAAAAUGGGGAUCGACUUUUGAAAAACGAAAGUGGGAGUCGCCACCAACCUUUUUAGGUGUGAUUGGAUCACCUUAUAAAACGUUUUGGUCUACGAAAAUUAAGAAAACAGGUUCGGGAGUCGGUUAUGUACGAGGAAGGAUUAGCACCCUCGCAACGCCCAAAAUUGGUACCAAAUUAAAUAGUUUUUUGUCUUAAUGUCAAAAAUUUGAAAGGAUUUAAAAAUAUGAUCCCUUUUUUAAAACCGGAAUUAUUUAAGUUGAAAAAUCGAGAUUCUUUAGCUCUGAAAGAAUACAAACAUCACAUCCAGCAUGAUAGGACACGAUAUUCUUAAACUCUCGUAACUGAAAUCAUCUCGUGAUUUACAAAAUCUAUUUAGAAAGAUACUUUAGGCAUUUAGACAAACGGGAAAUCGCAACCCAGCAUGUUAGGGCGCUUUUUCCCGAAUUCCUAAAUACGAAAAACAUUGCCUCAUUUUAGAAAAACUUUUGGAUAAAAUAUGACAAUUAAAUGAAAUAUAUUUUUUUUAAAAAUAAUGAUUUGAAUAAAAUUUAAAAAAAUAAUUUACAAAGAGUAAUACUAAAAAAAUUAUUAAAAAAUGAAAGAGUUUGAUAUGAUACUAAAAUUAUUAAAAGAAAAUUAAAAUAUAUAUAUAAAAAAAAUCAGGGAAACAUGGAUUAAAUCAAAAUAAAAAGGGUUGAAAAACGAAGAUGAACAAAGAAUAAAAUAAGAACAAAGCGUAGAAAAUAAGAACGUGAGAGGGAGAUAAAUUUGAGUGAAAGCUCUCAAAAUUUUUUAUUAUUUCCCAAAACUCCAGUGUCUACAAUGAAGGGAGAGGCCUCUAUUUAUAGUUGAACCUCCUCAAAUCCAGCGGACAGAUCAAUUACAUCAACGGUUAAGAUUAAAAGGUAUCUACAAAUUAAAUCUCUAAGAUUACAAAAUCAUAUCUUCUAAGAUUGCAUAUCAUAUCUAAGAUUGCAAUCACAUCUAAGAUUGCAUAUCAUAUCUAAGAUUGCAAUCAUAUCUAAGAUUGUAUCAUGUCUAAGAUUGCAUAUCAUUGAAGAUUAUAUUUCCAUAUGAGUCAAGCUUGUAGAUGGACCUUAAAUCUUUUCAAGUAAUGGGCCAUUCCGAUCGGGCCAAAUUAUAUUUGUAAUUUUGGACUGAACUUGGACUUCGUUUUUUUGGGGGUUUAUUAUAUUUUUGUUUUUAGACUUAUUUCUGGGCCUGGGAAAAAUUGAGUGUCUACAGCUGCCCCUCUUUGCUCAUUGCUGUGUAACAGGAAUAGAGCAAAGACUAUAAAAAGACCAAUUUUGCCCGGGCUCGCCGAGUCUUGAGUUCUUGAUCCUUGAUCUUCUUUAAAUGGCCUCUUGACGGCUUCAAUCUACUUCACUGCAACUCAGGAAGGUGAUAUCUGCUAUCUUUGAUCUGCUCCCUGUCUAAUACAGAGACGCCAAAUCUGUUAUCUUCGAUCUGCUCCCCGUCUAAUAUAAAGGUGCCAAAUCUGCUUCUUCAAUCUGCUCCCCGUCUAAUACAGAGAUGCCAAAUCUGUUAUCUCUGAUUUUCUCCCCGUCUAAUACAGAGAUGCCAAAUCUGUCAUCUUGGAUCUGCUUCGAUGUAAACACAUGAAGGUCAGAUCUGCUAUGUCUUCGAUCUGCUCCCCGUCUAAUACAGAGAUGCCAAAUCAUCUUGGAUCUGCUUCAAUGAAGGUCUAAUCUGUUAUGUCUUUGAUCUGCUCCCCAUCUAAUACAGAGAUGCCAAAUCAUCUUGGAUCUGCUUCAAUGAAGGUCAGAUCUACUGUGUCUUCGAUUUGCUCUCCGUCUAAUACAGAGAUGCCAAAUCAUCUUGGAUCUGCUUCAAUGAAGGUUAGAUCUGCUAUGUCUUCGAUCUGCUCUCCGUCGAAUAUGGAGAUGCCAAAUCUGUUUCUUCGCUUUGUUCUCUGACAGUACAGAGAUGCCAAAUCAUCUUAGAUCUGCUUCAGCGUAAACACGUGAAAGCCAAAUCUGCUAUGUCUUCGAUCUGCUCCUUGUAAACGCAAGGAUGCCAAAUCAUCUUGGAUCUACUUCGAUAUGAAAACAUCCAAAGGUUAGAUCUGCUAUGUCUUCGAUCUGCUCUCCGUCGAAUAUGGAGAUGCCAAAUCUGUUUCUUUGAUUUGUUCUCUGACAGUACAGAGAUGCCAAAUCAUCUUAAAUUUGCUUCAGUGUAAACACGUAAAAGCCAAAUCUGCUAUGUCUUCGAUCUGCUCCUUGUAAACGCAAGGAUGCCAAAUCAUCUUGGAUCUACUUCGAUGUGAAAACAUCUGAAGGUUAGAUCUGCUAUGUCUUCGAUCUGCUCUCCGUCGAAUAUGGAGAUGCCAAAUCUGUUUCUUCGAUUUGUUCUCUGACAAUACAAAGAUGUUAAACCAUCUUGGAUCUGCUUCAGCGUAAACACCUGAAGGUCAAAUCUGCUAUGCUUUAGCCCGUUACCCUACUGCUUAGGGGUUAAGGCGCAUCAAUCUUCAUUGUCCCUUGAAGGACAUAACCUGUAUUAAUGUGUAUGAGUUCAUGCCUAAUGAUUAGGAUGCUAUGAUCGAAGUGAGUCAAAUGCUCGUAAUUAAACCUGUUAUAAUGCAAAAUAUUUAUGAAUAUGACCCCUAUUCCAGAUGUCACCACUCAUUCUUUCGUCGAAGUUUAUCCUUAUUUCUCUCGAAGUACCAUUCCUACUCAACCUGUGGGUUUGUACCAUUCUUCAAACGCUAUGACCCACCAAAAAUGUCUGUAAGAUGAUCCUCUCUUAGGAUCGAAUCGUUUGAUUUGUCCAAUCAUCAUUUUGAACUAAAGAAAGAAUUUCCUCGAGUUCUUUCAAACCUCACUUACGUGACUUCUUCAAACAAUUGUUCUGUUUUAGUUUCUUAUAUUAUCUAGAAAUUUCCAGAGUAAUGAGCAAAACUUCAUUUUUGAAAACUAUUUAGUUCAUCUAUCAUUAUUUUAAUGCAACAUACUUUAAGAAUAAUGAAAGAUGAAUUUAAUCUUGAGAAUAAUUAGAUUUGAAUAAAUUUGUCAAAAAUACAAAGGAAAUUAAUCUGAAAGCCUAUCUUUGAGAAGGAAAAGAAUCUAAAGAUAGCAAACAGGACAAAAGUUAGAUGCCCUAGAUAUCGCCGCUUGAGCGUUCAUAUGCCAGCUCCAUGAAGACUUUCUUGAAUUCAACAUGUGUUUAAAAGAUCCAAAGUACUUUGUUGAUGCCCUGAUAUGCAACGCGCUUCACUCUUCGUUGAAUCAGAUAUAGCAAGAUUACCGUGUGCUCUUCAAAAUUUGAGCUGCCCUUUCGGGUUUUCAACUCAAAACCCCUUUGGUCACAAGGCGCCCUUUGCGGGUUUUUACCUUGGCCUCUUUAUUUUUUUUUCGAAAACUCAAGGCGCCCUUUGUGGGUUUUCACCCUGAAUUAUUCUCUCCUUUAGACAAAGUACUUUUUGACUGAGUCUGAAUUCACUGGAUAGGGAAAACUCUUCCCAUCCAUUUCCGUUAAGAUUAAUGCAGCCCCGGAGAAGGCCUUCUUCACGACAUACGACCCUUCCCAAUUUGGCAUCCAUUUUCUUCUAAAGUCCUUCUAAAUAGGGAGGAUCUUCUUCAGCACAAGAUCCCCCUCAUGGAAUUCUCUUGGUCGCACUUUCUUGUCGUAAGCUCGCAUCAUUUGCAUCUGAUACAUCUGACUAUGACGAAUAGCCUUUAGCCUCUUUUCCUCAAUCAAGUUCAACUGAUCAUAUCGCGAUUGUAUCCAUUCAGCUUCAUUCAACUUUAUCUCUGACAAGAGUCGAAGAGACGGUAUUUCUACUUCAAUGGGUAACACUGCUUCCAUCCCAUAAACCAACGAGAAAAGAGUUGCCCCGGUAGAAGUUCUGGCAGACGUUUGGUAAGCUAAAAGUGCAAAUGGUAACUUCUCAUGCCAGUCUCUGUAGGUUUCAGUCAUUUCCCCACUAUCUUCUUAAUUUUUUUGUUAGCAGCUUCCACUGCCCCAUUCAUCUUUGGGCGAUACAACGAAGAAUUAUGAUCCUUAAUCCUGAACUGACUGCAAACUUCUGCUAUCAUUUUGUUGUUCAAGUUCAGUGUAUUUUCUGAUAUGAUCCUUUUAGGCAUCCCAUACUGACAAAUAAUCUCUUUCUUCAAGAAUCAACUUACAGCCGACUUAGUAACAUUCGCAUAAGAAGCAGCCUCUACCCACUUCGUGAAGUAAUCAAUGACCACAAAAAUAAAGCGAUGCCCAUUUGAAGCUUUUGGUGAUAUUGGCCUAAUGACAUCCAUGCCCCACAUAGAAAAAGGCCAUGGAGAAGUCAUAACGUAUAGAGGUGAAGGUGGUACAUGAAUCUUGUCUCCAUAAAUCUGACAUUUACGGUAUUUUUUGGUGUAGUUCAUAGAAUCCCCUUCCAAAGUAGACCAAUAAUAUCCAAACCUCAUGAUUUGUCUAGCCAUCGUGAAACCAUUAGCGUGCAUCCCACAAACACCCUCGUGAACUUCUUCCAAGAUUAACUUAGCUUCUACGGCAUCAACACAUCUCAACAGUACUUGAUCCUUUCUUCUUUUGUACAAGAUGUCCCCAUCUAAAAUGUAGUCGCAGGCUAAUCUCUUUAAAGUUCGCUUAUCAUUUUUAGUUGCCUGUUCUGGGUAUUUACGAUCUCUCACAUAUCGAAAUAUAUCCUGAUACCAAGGGUUAUCAUCUUUUUCUUCUUCCUCAAUGUUACAACAGUGAGCUGGAGCCUCAAAGAUACUCAUCUGAAUGGAUCUCAUCUCCUCCUCUUUAUUCACUUUAGUCAUUGAAGCCAAGGUUGCUAGAGCAUCUGCUAUCUAGUUUUCGUCUCGUGGGAUAUAAUUAAAAGUGAUGUCAUCAAACUCCUCAAGUAACCCCAAAACUACCUUUCAAUAAUUGAUCAAUUUAGGAUCCCUUGUCUCCCAUUCACCUUUAAGCUGACUCUGUUAAACUCUAAAAGCAGAAUUUGCCACCUCGUCAUUCUUCCAUUCAAAGCUGUUGACUCCAUUAUAUACUUCAGAGGAUCAAGUUUUGAAAUAAGCCAAGUAGUAUGAUACAACAUAUAUUGCCUCAACCUUCGAGUCGUCCAGAUUAAAGCACAGCACAAUUUCUCAAUUGGCGAAUAUCUCAUCUCACACUCUGUGAAUUUCUUGCUGAGGUAGUAUAUCGCCUUCUUCUUUCUUCCCGACUCGUCAUGUUGGCCAAGCACACAUCCCAUAGAAUUGCUAAACACUGAUAAGUAUAGAAUUAAUGGUCUACCUGGAUUAGGUGGAGAUAACACAUGAGCAUUUAACAAGUAUUGCUUAACCUUAUCGAAAGUACUCUGGCAUUUCUCAUCCCAAGUACCUUGGUUGUGUUUUCUAAGGAGGCGAAAUAUAGGGUCACAUUUCUUAGUUAAUUGUGAAAUAAACCGAGCAAUAUAAUUUAACCUUCCAAGAAAACCCCAAACUUUUUUCUGAGUACGCGGUGAAGGCAAAUCUUGUAUGGCUCUAACUUUGUCUGAAUCAACUUCUAUUCCUUUUUCACUGACCACAAAACCUAGUAACUUCCCCGACCUGGCUCCGAAAGUGCAUUUUGCCAGAUUAAGUUUUAACUGAAACUUUCUUAAUCUCAAGAAUAAUUUCUUUAAAACCUCAAUAUAUUCCUCUUCUGUUCGAGAUUUGGCAAUCAUAUUAUCAAUAUACACUUCAAUUUCUUUGUGCAUCAUAUCAUGGAAUAAGCUUACCAUAGCCCGUUGGUAUGUUGCUCCUGCAUUCUUCAAUCCAAACGGCAUUACUUUGUAACAAAAGGUGCCCUAAAAUGUUAUGAAAGUGGUUUUAUCCAUGUCUUCCGGAUGCAUCUUGAUCUGGUUGUACCCCGAGAAACCAUUCAUGAAGGAGAACAACGAAUAUCCCGCUGUGUUGUCUACCAAAGUGUCUAUGUGUGGCAGAGGGAAAUUAUCUUUUAGGCUAGCUUUGUCCAAAUCUCUGUAAUCAACGCACAUUCGUACCUUCCCAUCCUUCUUAGGGACUGGUACAAUGUUAGCUACCCAUUCAGAAUACUUUACCUCUUGUAAGAAUCCUGCAUCGAACUGCUUCUUGACUCCGUCCUUUAUCUUCAAUAUGAUAUUUGGUCUCAUUCUUCGCAACUUCUGUUGGAUUGGUUUACAAUCCUGUCUUAUUGGAAGACGAUGCACCACGAUAUCGGUAUUUAACCCUGGCAUAUCUUGAUAGGACCAUGUGAAGAUAUCCUUGAACUCACGUAGUAACUCAAUCAGUCCUUACUUUGUGUCUUCAGCAAUAUGCGUGCCGAUUUUUACCUCUUUCCCCUCCUCUAGGGCUACACUCUCUAUUGUCUCUUUCUCAUGGGGCAUAAUUUGCUUUUCUUCCUGUUUUACCAUCCUCAAUAGAUCCAGAGACACAUCACAAUCCUGGACAUCUCCAAAAUCCUGAGAUUCCUCUAAACACAUGUCUUGUUCGUGAGAGAAAUCAAGAUUUGUAAUAUCAAUGCUCAUGUCAUUGAUAUCUAGAGACUUGUGAGGUAUAAAGAAUAUAAAAAGAAUGAAUGAAUUGAAGAAUGAUUAUUUAUGUGCUACGAAUGAAAGAAUAAGAAUUGCAAAAGUUUAACGGAAUAUUGGUUGAUAAAAAUGAAACAAUACUCGUUCAAAUUGAUAAAAGUUAUGUUUUAUUAAAAAUAAUAAUAGAUUAUCGUAAGCCCAUUCCACAAAUGUAAUCCUAUUACUCGUAGGCCCUAGAGUGACAAGAAUGUUUCGAGAAUUAUUCUGAAAAAUUCCUAAAGACUACAGGAAGUUCCUCCGCAGUCCAAUUGUUCAGAGAGCUUCCCGGUUCGUAAGGGCGAAUGCCCUCAAGGUUUCCUUAAUUAGUCCCUUCUUCAUGUAUGGCAUUGAUGGAAUGAUUUUCAUUUCUAAACACCCCCAUCUCCAGGUAAGCUAUCCCUCCUGAUACAAAAGUCUAGGAUAUGUAAGGGAGCGUCUUCUUUUCGCUCAGCCGUAACCCUCUUCUCUCUUUCUCUCUUUCUUUCUCUUUUUAACAUUAAUUAGGGUCUUUUUUAUGGAUUUAAAUGCAUGUGAUGUGAUGCAAUGCAAAUGCAUGAAUGCAAAAGAAAAGGAGAUGUUGAUUUUGAAUUCAAUUCCAUUAGAAUAACUUUUCUAGAAAACAAAUUUCUUUACAUGAAAAUAGAUUACAUAUGCGGUCUUGCCCUUCAUAGUCCAAGUAAACGUUGAUAUUUUCUUCAUGGUCGAAUCCUGUAAAUUCUCCAAAAGAUGCCUUUGCUAGCUCCUUGCUGCUUAAUCUAAGCAUCGAUCUCUUGCUUGUUUAUCUCCAUGAUACUCAUCAAAAAGUGCCGGCUCUUGGAUAAUCUUCGUUGGCAAUUAAAUCAAGUCAUGUAUUCCUUCGUGGACUUCUGGCUUUCUCUCGUCAUGCCUUUGUUGGCUUGAAUCUCUGGCAAUUACAUCAUGUAUUCCUCCGUGGACUACCAUCUUUCUCUCGUCGUGUUUACUUGGACUAUAUUCAGACGACCGCACUAUAAUCCACUUUAUCAAGAAAUUCAUUUCCUUAUGACAAACUAUUCUAUUUAGGAAUCAAAUUUCGAAUCAACACCUUCUUUUCUUUGAUGUAAUGUAAUAAAAAUACAUGAAUGCAAAAAGGUAUCGAUUUCGAUUCAGUUUCAUUUUAUAAAACGUUAUUUAAGGAACAAAAGUCUUUUCAUAAAACGAAUUACAAAUACGCUUUCGCUCGUAGGCCCAGAGUCUUAACCCUAUCUAAUAACAAAGCUAACUCUCGACCUCUAUCUGAACUGCCCCGCUUUAUAUUGCUUUAGGACGAGUAACGGUGCAUAGCCAACGACUCCCCAAAUCCCAGGAAGAGGUACCCAAUCAAAACUACAGCAGCGAUAAAGGACUUCAUUAGGAGUCAUCCAAGGUGCUUUCCACAAAACCUCCUCCUCUCGAAGAUUCUAAAGAAUAUCCAUCCACCUUUCUUCUGUAAUAUCGUCUCUCAUUGAUGUAGUUGCUGCUUCCUUUAAGGGGGAAUAACCCUCAAAGAAUACUCGGCAAGGAACCUUCUCAAGCUUCCAAAAGUGACUAUGGAACCAUACUAACAACAACUGUGCGCAUCCAAUGAAUCUACUUCACUGGCUCUCCGACAUGUACUUCAAGGAUCUAAAUGUCUCAGCUAGGAUUGCUAGCACCGGCGUGUUCUGCUUACCGACAAGAUCGAACAAAUCCGCAACUGCCUCAUCUAUGUGCCCCAAUACCUUUGGGAAAAUACCAUGCCAUAAAUACUCAAAGCUAGGACGUCGACCCUUUUCUUUACAUCUGGAUGUGUCAAUAUCAAAUCCCUCAAAAUAGCCCAUGGAACGCACUUACUAUCACCCUUUUGCUGCACACGAGCUACAGCCCACUGCUCACUCAUCCCAGUAAUCAUCACCAACUUCUUUGCAAAAGUUGGAAGACUAGCAGGCCUAACAUAAGCCUUGUGACCCUGAAUCCUCGGGCAACGCAGUAAAGUCGUAUACUCCUCCAAAGUAGGUACAAGAUCAACAUCACCAAAUGUAAAGCAACUAUAAGCAGGGCUCCAGAACUGGACCAUAGCUCGAAACAAGUGCCUAUCUACUUUGACAUCUAGCAAAUAGGGAAGGUCUCCAUCAUUCUGAUAGAAGAGCUGCUUAGCCUCGUCAUCCCAUUGGGCCCAAAUGUCUCUUAAUUCCUGAAACUAAUUCUGCGUUGAAUUAAUACGGGUGAAGUCCCAUAACUCUGAUGUGUACCCCUCAGUGACACUAUCUCCUUUUUCUAACUAGCUUUUCUCUGACCAGGUACAGAUAGAGGCAUUGUCCUCCACUUUAUCAAGAUAUUUGUUCCCCAUUACAAAACUUUCUAACUCAGAAAUCGAACCGUGAAUCGAUAUCUUUGAAUGUUGAAUGACAUGCAAUGAUAGCAAAAUAAAAUAGGUCAGUAUCAUAUAUAUAAGAAAUGAUAAACAAGUACUUACAAGGGUAGCUUACUAAAGGCUAUCACUAUCUUCCCUAGGGUAAGCACUUAAAAUUCACUAUAUGAGUUUUAGCUCCAAAGCCAAGGUACCUAAACCAGCAGAUUCCUUGGUCUUCACCCAUUAUAGGCUCAUAUAGACCAAGUUCAGUUCAGGGGGACACAUUUCCCUAUGGCCAUACGGAGAUGAAAAUCUCACGAAGACAUAGGUACAAUAUCCCGGAAGCAAUCCACUAGCUCAUACGAAGGUGAAAACCUUACGAAAGCGUAGCUUCUCACCCCCACUUAAGGGUGUGACCACAACGGUCAUGCAAAUGCAAUGUACAGCAAUAAGGUAACAAACAUAUGCAGCAAACACAUGUAAAAAGGAUCCAAUUUUAAAUCUUCCAAACUUCAGACAGUAAGACAGAAAAUACUCAAUUUCUUGGCUUGACUCUCUUAAGUUCCCAGCGGAGUCCCCAAGCUAUCGAAACUAUUUUUUAAAGGGAUGUUUGAAAAAUGGGGAUCGACUUUUGAAAAACGAAAACGGGAGUUGCCACCAGCCUUUUUAGGUGUGAUUAGAUCACCUUAUAAAACAUUUUGGUCUACGAAAAUUAAGAAAAUAGGUUCGGGAGUCGGUUACGUACGAGGAAGGAUUAGCACCCUCGCAACGCCCAAAAUUGGUACCAAAUUGAAUAGUUUUCUGUCUUAAUGUCAAAAAUUUGAAAGGAUUUAAAAAUAGGAUCCUUUUUUAAAACCGGAAUUAUUUAAGUUGAAAAAUUGAGAUUCCUUAGCUCCGAAAGAAUACAAACAUCACAUCCAGCAUGAUAGGACACGAUAUUCUUAAACUCUCGUAACUGAAAUCAUCUCGUGAUUUACAAAAUCUAUUUAGAAGGAUACUUUAGGCAUUUAGACAAACGGGAAAUCGCAACCCAGCAUGUUAGGGCGCUUUUUCUCGAAUUCCUAAAUAUGAAAAACAUUGCCUCAUUUUAGAAAAAACUUUUGGAUAAAAUAUGACAAUUAAAUGAAAUAUAUUUUUAAAAAAAUAAUGAUUUGAAUAAAAUUUAACAAAAUAAUUUACUAUGAGUAAUACUAAAAAAAUUAUUAAAAAAUGAAAGAGUUUGAUAUGAUACUAAAAUUAUUAAAAGAAAAUUAAUAUAUAUAUAUAUAAAAAUCAGGGAAACAUGGAUUAAAUCAAAAUAAAAAGGGUUGAAAAACGAAGAUGAACAAAGAAUAAAAUAAGAACAAACCGUAGAAAAUAAGAACGUAAGAGGGAGAGAAAUUUGAGUGAAAGCUCUCAAAAAAUUUUAUUGUUUCCCAAAACUCCAGUGUCUACAAUGAAGGGAGAGGCCUCUAUUUAUAGUUGAACCUCCUCAAAUCCAACGAUACAGAUCAAUUACAUCAACGGUUAAGAUUAAAAGGUAUCUACAAAUUAAAUCUCUAAGAUUACAAAAUCAUAUCUUCUAAGAUUGCAUAUUAUAUCUAAGUUUGCAAUCAUAUCUAAGAUUGUAUCAUAUCUAAGAUUGCAUAUCAUAUCUAAGAUUGCAAUCAUAUCUAAGAUUGUAUCAUAUCUAAGAUUGCAUAUCAUAUCUAAGAUUACAUAUCAUUGAAGAUUAUAUUUCCAUAUGAGUCAAGCUUGUAGAUAGACCUUAAAUCUUUUCAAGUAAUGGGCCAUUCCGAUCGGGCCAAAUUAUAUUUGUAAUUCUGGACUGAACUUGGAUUUUGUUUUUCUUUUUGGGGUUUAUUAUAUUUUUGUUUUUGGACUUAUUUCUGGGCCCGGGCAAAAUUGAGUGUCUACACCUGGCAUGAAGAAAAAUUUAUUAUUUGUGGCAUAAUUAACAUCUGCAGACCACCAAGUUUUGUUUAGUCCAUAGUGUGUAAAGGUAUUCAAAAAUGUUAAAGUCUCAGUAACACCAACCAUAGAAGGGAAGAGAAUGAAAUCUUUCUAUGUAAUGUCGGCAGAAACUGCUUAUAUGGACAAAACAAAAAAGAAUGAGACGACAGAUUUGUGGCACGCAAUGCUUGGAGACGUCAGCUAUCACAAGCUGAAAGUUAUGAUGAAGAAGUCAAUGCUAAAGGGUCUUCUUCAACUUGAAGUGUAAGAUGACACUGUUUGUACAGGAUGUCAAUUCGGUAAGAGCUAGUUCAUUCUGAUGUAUUUGGGAGUGUCAAGCAACCUUCCGUUAGUGGGAUGCGUUAUAUGGUGACUUUUAUUGAUGAUUUCUUAAGGUAUGUGUAGGUUUUUUUUAUGAAAGAAUAAUCAGAGACAUUUUCCAAGUUUAAAGAAUUUAAAGAAGAAGCUGAAGCAGAGGUUGGUAGAAAAAUUCAAUGCUUACACACAAAUAAUGGCGGGGAGUGCAUAUCAGAUGAGUUUUCUAACUAUGUAAGAAAUAACAAGAUUCAUCAUCAAUUCACAUGUGCCAACAUGCCACAGCAAAACGGAGUUGCCGAGAGGAAGAAUCGAUAUCUUGCUGAGACGUGUCAGAGUAUGCUUCAUGCAAAAAAUACCUGAAAGAUUUUGGGCAGAAUGUAUGAAAACCACUGCUCAUUUCAUUAAUAAAUUUCCAAUACCAAAGCUUGGUUUCAUCUCACCUUUUGAGGUACUAUGGGAUACUAAACCUGAUGUUGGUCAUUUUUGGGUUUUUGGGUGUAUUUGCUAUAUAUUUAUUCCAGGUCAUUUAAGGAGCAAAUUCGAUAAAAAAGCAAUCCGGUGUAUCUUUGUUGGAUAUGAUAACCAAAGGAAAGGAUGGAGAUGUUGUGACCCUGUGACUGACAAAUGCUACACAUCACGCAAUGUAGUGUUUGAUGAAACUUCUUCUUGGUGGACUCCACAACAAAUGAAAUUGCCAGAUUCUGAAGUAAAAGAAGAUCAACCCCAAGGGAAAAUAGAGGAGCAGUUUCUUGAGAUACAACCAAGUCCUGCAGCUAAUGAAGAAAUUGGAGACAAUGAAGUUGUUGAGACAACAACAAAUCCUUGGUGAAAUGGUGUUCAUCAGAGGCAGGAGGCCGAAAUCAAUCCAGAGGGUGAAGAAACUUUGCAGCCACAACUUAGAAAGUCAACCAGAUUUCGUAGGCAAAAUCCAAAGUAUGCGAAUAUAGCUGUAACGGAGGAAAAACCUUUGGUCCAACCAACAACUUAUAAAGAAGCGUCUCAAGAUUCUGAAUGGGUAAAAACAAUGGAGGAAGAGAUUGCUGCACUGGAACAAAACUAGACUUAGGAGCUUGUGCCACGUCCACCAGAUGUGAAACCCAUAUCUUGUAAAUAGGUUUAUAAAAUAAAGUAUCGUACUGAUAGAUUAGUUGAGAGGUACAAGACUCGGUUAGUUGCAAAGGGAUUUUCUCAAAAAUAUGGAUUGGACUAUGAAGAGACGUUUAGUCCGGUGGCAAAGAUUGUUACUUUUCGAGUUCUUUUGGCUCUUGCUGCUAGCAAUGAUUGGAAGCUGUGGCAAAUGGAUGUGAAAUUUACAUGAAUCAACCUAUUGGAUUUGAGAGUGAAAGUCAUCCUAGUUAUGAUUGCAAGUUAAAGAAGGCUUAUAUGGGUUGAAGCAAUCACCGAGAGCAUGGUAUGGCAAGAUUGCUGAAUUUUUUAACUCAAGUUGGUUAUGUUAUGGCUCAUGCGAAUUCUAACCUGUUUGUCAAAGUUAGUGAAGAGGAGUUAGAAAAGUGUUGGUGUAUGUGGAUGAUUUGAUAAUCACUGGAGAUGAUAAUGAAGAAAUCCACCAAGUUCGACAAAACUUGUCAGUCCGCUUUCAAAUGAAGGAACUUGGCCAACUUAAACACUUCUUAGGGCUAGAAAUUGAUCAUACAAAAGAAGGCAUGUUUUUUUGUCAAGAGAAAUAUGCAAAAGAUUUGUUGCAGAAAUUUGGAAUGCUCAAUUGCAAGACCAUCACUAUACCAGUGGAACCAAACAUCAAGUUUAUUACUCAUGCAGGGAAAGACUUGGAAGAUAGGUUGAUGUAUCAGCAACUUGUAGGUAGUCUCCUUUACCUAACUUUAACUCGACCUGAUAUUUCUUAUAUUGUUGGGGUAGUUAGUCGAUAUAUGCAGAAUCCCAAGAAACAACACUUGGAAGCAGUUUGACGAGUUCUAAGAUAUGUGAAGGAUACUCUGGAUUAUGGUCUUCUAUAUAAGAAAGGUGAGGUUUGCAAACUAGCUGGUUAUUGUGAUGCUGACUAUUCAGGGGAUCACGAUACACGUUGAUCAACCACUGGCUAUGUAUUCAAGUUUGGUUUAGGGACAAUUUCUUGGUGUAGUAAAAGAAAGCCAACUGUGUCCUUAUCGACAACAGAGGCAGAAUAUAGAGCAGCAGCUAUGGCAACCCAAGAAAGUACAUGGUUAGUGCAACUUGUGGAAGAUUUGCACCAAAAAGUUGAUUAUGCAAUAGCCCUCUAUUGUGACAAUCAAUCAGCUAUUCGUUUAGCAAAAAAUCCUGUGUUUCAUGCAAGGACCAAACAUGUGGAGGUGCACUACCAUUUUGUUAAGGAAAAGAUGUUACAAGGAGAAAUUGAGUUGUCCUAUGUCAAGACUGAUAACCAAGUUGUAGACUUGUUCAUGAAAGGCUUGAGUACAACUAAGUUGGAAAAGUUUUGCUCAUAACUUGGGAUUGUGAAAAGGUUUGGAGUUGGCAUUGAGGGGGAGUGUUAAAGUUCACCACCAAAUCAGUUAGUGGCCUAAAAUCUUAGGCAUAUCAGCAGAUGAAAUAUUCAAAUUAGUUACAAUAAAGUUAUUGAAUGGUUAGCUAAAAUCAUGGUUUAAUAUCUGAUUGUGAUUUUGCUUCUGGGUUAUCCUAUAUUUUAGCUAAAGUUGUUGUAGUUUCAGCCUAUAUAAAAAAUGUAAAUCAGUAAAUAAAAAGUGUCUUGAAUUCUUAUUUUUCAUUGAGUCUUUUGAAUAUAAUUCAUAAAAUGUUAUUGAGUGAGUUUUUCUUUUUCUUUUUUUUUUCUUUUUUUUUUUACAGCAAAUCUUCCUAUUUAGUCUAACAUGUUAAACUUGAUAAUACCAAUGAAGAUAUUGGUUGGAUUCUUCUUUUUGUUUGUUUUUAACACGUCCAUUGACUUGUAAUAGUAAAAGACUUGGCACUUGGCACUUUUAUUAUUAAUAGUAUAAGCCCCCAAUAAUGCACAUAUUUAUGUAGUCUUGUGGUGGAGCCCAGACAAGCUAUCGACAUCCUUGGAAGAAAAUAUACUGUUACAUCUUCGGCAUCCCAUACCAGUGGUGCCAGAAGAAGCAAAACCCUAACUUCAGGCAAUGGUUCCAAUAUCCAUUCCUUGAAGGAAAAAACAGAGACUCCAAGUUCAGACACAGAUAGUGAGUUCUUGGUUAGUAUUUUGUUCUUUUCAUUGGCUAUGAAGAUUACUAUUUUGUUCUUGUUCUUAUGGUUUUCCAAGUGUAAAGUAAUGAUUGUUUUGGUUCUUAAUAAAAGUUGAUGAAUUUUCUUAGCAAAAUGAACAAAUAUAUAAAAUAUUAUAAAAAAAUCAUUUCGAACGGUUCUUAAGAGAACCAUUGACUUGUAAUUAAUCCAAAGUCUUUGUGGUUUUAUUGCCUAAUUCAUAAAAAUUAUUCCAAGUCUUGCAUUGAUGGACCUCAUACACCGUGCUUUUAAAAGCACUUGCUAGGAAAUAAACUGGAUUAAAAUAAAUUCCAUCCAAAAAAGUAAGCAACAAGACCAAAUUAAUUUAUAACUUGCAACUGGGGUAGGUUGGCACCUUCUUUUAUUGAAUAAAUAUCAAAAUUGUAUUUGAAAUUUAAUUUACUGAAUGAUAUCAUAUAUAAAUUUUGAUUGUAUGUAAUUAUACAUGAAUCUUUUAUUUGAUUCAAUUUUCACAAAUUAUUAAUAAUAUUAUUGAAUUAAUAUAAUUUACCUUGUUAUAUUGUAUAUACAAACAAUUGUAUUAAUUUAGUAUAAAAAUAAAUACAUGUAAUUUAAACAUGUACAACUGAAUCAAAAUUAAAAUUUUAUAUAUAAUUACAUCAAAUUAAAUUUUAUCAUCAAAUUUCGUAUAUAAAUUAAUAAAUAAUUUUUUAAAAUAAUAUAACUAAUGAAUUUUACAAAAAAGAAAAGUUUUUUUUUUCUUAUUUUUGUCCAAGUUCCCACCACAAAGUAGGAGAUUCAAUACGAUGCUUUGUAGGUCCAAUGUAGGGCAAGAAUGUCGAACUUUAUUUUAGUGAGGAAUGAAUUAUUUUAUUCCAGGGAAUGAAUUACCUUGUGUUGCAGCAAAUUUCCUCAAAAUCCUCACUCCGAAGGUGAAGAAGGCUCAAAAAGCUGAGAAUAUGUAUCUCAAAUCUCGUAAACCUGAAUUUCUCUUCAUAUUAUUAUUCUUAUACACCCUUCCUAUGGGUUUACUUGUUCAUUUUACCAUGGCUGCAGCAAUUGAUGAUGGUAACAUCCAUUUCAAUUUGACUGAUUUCACCCCAAAUAUGCCUCACAUAGAGUUUGAAGCUGAUACAACCACAUCAGGUCGCCAAAUCCAACUCACAACCAACCAGAGAAACAAGGCUUUAAACGGUAGUGUUGGUCGAGCCACUUAUUACCAACCAAUGCACCUUUGGGACAAUUCAUCAGGGAAUCCCCGACUUGCAGAUUUCACCACUCAUUUUUCUUUCUCCAUCGAUUCCUUGAAUAAGUCCUCCGGAGAUAGGGGUGAUGGGUUUGCGUUUUUCCUUGCUCCCGAUGGCUCAAAAAUCCCUCCUCACUCCGGAGGUGGUUGCUUGGGACUUCAAAGUUGCGAUUCAGACGCUAACUCUAAAUUUGUUGCAGUGGAAUUUGAUACGUAUCCCAAUGUAUGGGAUCCUCUGGGGUUAGAUCACGUGGCCAUUGAUCUCAACUCUAUCAAGACUUCUUUUUACCCUGUCCAAUGGACGUGGAGUGGCAUUGAACAUGGAGGAAAGGUUGAUACUUUCAUCACUUACAACUCUAGUACAAAAAACCUGAGUGUCUUUUUACUUGGUGCUGAGGACUUUAAUCGUCUAAAUUCAUCUAAUCUUUCCGCAAUAUUGGAUCUUAGUCAAUAUUUACCAGAAUGGGUCACUUUUGGCUUCUCCGGAUCCACUGGAUCUAGCAUUGAGCUACACACUAUUUGUUCCUGGAGUUUCAGCUCCAACUUACAAGUUUCCAUGAAUAAAACCAUCAAUCCUCAAAAUCUACCACCAAUCCCUCCAUUCAACUCCAGAAGGAAGAAACAGACAUGGCUACGGGUAGUUCUAGCCAUUGUUGGUUGCAUUUCUACUUUGCUCCUAGUUCUAAGUCUGGUUUGGCUUUCCUGUAGAAGGAGAAAGUACAGAAGGAUGAGGGAAGAUGGGACCAUUUCUUUCAACGUAGACGUGGAAAUGGUGACAGCACCUAGGAAGUUUUCCUACAAGGAACUCAGGCUUGCAACGAAUAAUUUUGCCGAUGAAGAUCUCCUUGGAGAGGGAGGUUUUGGAAAAGUUUAUUUAGGCUUCUUGAGGGACACCAAUUCCAAUAUUGCUGUCAAAAGGAUAACUCCAAAUUCUCAACAAGGGGUGAAACAGUACGAAUCCGAAAUUACCACUAUUAUCAAAUUGAGGCACAGGAAUUUGGUCCAACUUAUCGGUUGGUGCCAUGACAAUAAGGAGUUCCUCAUUGUGUAUGAGUUCCUUCCAAAUAGGAGUCUCGAUUACCAUCUACAUAAAGAGCCAUGCUUGUUGACAUGGGAUACAAGGUAUAAAAUCGCCAUGGGAGUGGCCUCAGGGUUGUUUUAUCUACAAGAAGAAUGUGAUCGAUGCGUGCUGCAUCGAGACAUCAAGUCAAGUAAUGUUCUGCUAGAUUUUAGUUUCAAUGCCAAGCUUGGUGACUUUGGGCUGGCUAGGCUUGUUGACCACGGACAAGGGUCUCAAACAACAAAAUUGAUCCUUGGGACGGAUGGUUAUAUAGCACCCGAGUGUCUUGAGACAUACAAAGCCAUUAAGGAAUCCGACAUAUACAGCUUUGGUAUUGUUGCCUUAGAAAUAGCCUCCGGAAAGAAGGCCGUAGCUGUAAUUGAAAGGAAUGGCAAGAGAUUCAAGACAAAACUGGUGGAAUGGGUUUGGGAAUUGUAUAGGGAAGAGCGUCUUUUGGAUGCUGCUGACCCAAGAUUGUCUGGAAACUACGACAUGGAACAAAUGGAACGGUUGCUGUUAGUUGGGCUGGCUUGUGCUCACCCAAACUAUUUUGACCGCCCAUCCAUAAGGCAGGCUAUUGAAAUCCUUGGUUCCAAAGCCCCACUUCCCAGUUUACCACGCGAGAUGCCGGUUCCAUUACACAUUGCAGCUCUGCAAGACAACAUCGUUACAUCUUCAGCAUCCACUUCAUGCUAUACCAGUGGCCAAACUCAAAGUUGAGGCACUGGGUCAAGAAUUCAUUCAUUUUAAGGAUAAAACAAUGGCUCCAGGUUAUGACACGGAAGCCAAGCAGUGAAUUCUUGGCGGUUGGUAGUUGAACCUUCUUUUGUUGUAUAUAUGGCUUCUUGUUUUCUAGUUUUGAUGCUUUGUUAUAUCCAUGGUUUCCGCACCUUGUGUUUUGUUCUUUUGAUUGGGUAUAUGCGAAGAUCACUGUAUUUAAAGAUUUUAGUGUUCUUAGUGUAAUGAUUGCCUUCGUUGUUAAUUAUAGUUUAAUUUGAAAUAUUCUAUAGAUUUUCUUCCUUUUAAAUUUGCUUUUAUCUCUAAGAGAUUGAGAUUUGAGACAAUUGUGGCUUCAUAUUGCCCAAGAACCACUAAUGGAACUCAGUCACAUCCUACAGGAUGAUAACCGGUUGUGUUAUGCUAAGAAAAAUAUAGGAUUAGGUAUGCAAUUUGACUUAAAAUUUUUAUUUGAAAUAACAAAAUAACAUGGUAAAUUUUGGAUAUUAUAAUUAUUUAAGUUUAUUUUUACCAAAUCAAUCUUUAGAAACCAUUUAUAUUUAAAUGUUGUAAUUACUAAACUUUUUUUUUACCAAAUAAAUCUUUAGAUCUAUUUUGUAUUAGUUUACUAAAUUAAAUUAUAAAUAUUACUAAAUUUAUCAUAAAAAUUAUAAAUUCUAUAAAAAAAUUAAAUUUAAAAAAAAACUUUAAAAAUUUUGGGGGGUCAAACAUAAAUUUUUCUUUUCUUUAAGCACUAAUUAUAAUAUCAACUUAAAAAAAAAUUAAAACCUAAAAAGGUUAAAGAAAAUUCAUAAAAUUUAGAGGGGUCGGGCCCUGCGAACCCCUAGUUUUGAGAAUUUUAAUUGGGAGCAGCAUAAGAAUAUAAAUUCUUGGGGGAUAAACUUAAAAUUUUCAUACUAAAAGGAUUGAAUUGUAUUACUGAACAAUACGAGAGUCUAAAAUUACAAUAAACUCAUUUUAUCCAAAAUGGCCCAAAGCUCCAACCUAGAUUCGCCCUUGCAUGCGAAUUUUAGGGAUGUGCCAAAUGAAUUAUAUUUCAUUCUACCAAAAAAUAAUAGUAUAAUUUAAAUGUGAUAUUAAUAAAAUUUUGACUGUCAUUUCUUCUUUAAUGUUUCAUACAUUCGAAAAGUAACCAUCACCCUAAAGCCCAUUGAAUAAAUUUGUUAUGUUUAAAAUAAGUUAAAAAGAUUAAAAAAAUUAAUAGUAUAAUUUAAAUGUGAUAUUAUGCCUUUAUUUAUUCAAUUAAAUAAUAAUUCAAAGUACUUUCAAAAAAAAAUUUCAAAGAAAAUCGAUUAAUCUUAAGUCAUCUUUUACCUCUUUGAGAAAGUAUAUUUACUGCGUAUAAUAAUUCAUGUAAUUUAUUUCUUAUUUAUCAAUUUGUCCUUCCAUCUUAUAAUGCAAACAAUUUAUCCUACAUUUGGUUGGAGUAUUAUUUUCUAGUUAUGUUUUAGUAUAUGAGUUAGUAAUAAACUAAUUCAAUUGGUAAUAUUUAACCACUCUCAUGACUUAUUUAUAACAAAAAAAAAGGAAUUUUUUUUGCUUAUUUUGAAGAGGCAUUAUUUUUUACAUGAGUUUCUGUUAGAGAUCGACCCAUAUAAGCAGCGAACAAGAAAAGUAGAGAAGAAUGAACACAAAUAUUUAAUGUGGAAAACUCCUACGAAAAGGAUAAAAACCAAGGGCAAAGGAGGCUUCAGCUUUUCACUAAAUGAGUAAACAAACAAGAGUACAAUAUUGAGAAAAUAAGCCUUAAUGUACAAAUUCAAAACCCGAAUACAAAGCUGUAACUCGGAAACAAAAUUCUCUCCAUGUUUACAACGAAAACUCUCACCAAAACUCAUUUGUGACUUCUUGUAGCCUUCAAGAUAAAAGCCCUGUAGUACUACAUAUUUAAUUGCCUACUUAAUUGGUCUUUUAAAACGGGGAUAUAAUGACCCCUUUUAAAUAAGCUAAUAUUAGAGUUCUAAUCACAUUAAAAUAUCCUUAGAGUAAUCAAAGUUCUACUGGGAAAAGAUAAUGGAAUUUAACUAGGAGAAAAAACUCGGUGUUUGUGGGAAACAAGUCACCAUGUCUCAACGUCCUCAUUCACAUCGUCACAAUGUUGGGAAGCUUCUCAUCGUGAUGUUGCCAACUAGCUUUGGUAAGUGCCUGCAAACUAUUCAAUAAAUGUGAGGCACGACCUACAGCUUUUACUUAUCUUUCUAGUUUCAAGUUUAAUUUUUUAUUAACUAUUGCAAUAUAUAGGUAAUAAAUAAGUUUUUCCCUCAUGUUAUUACAGUAGUAACCAUACGAUGCAUUAGAUAAAUGUAACGACCCAAAAGUCAAUAAAGUCGAAAACAGUGGUUUUGGAAUGUUGUUUUCCGAAGAUAGAAUUCGUGAAUAUUGUUUAUUCAUAGUUACGAAGGUAUUACAGUAUUAUAUUGAGGUUGAUCUAAUAAUUUUAAUUAUUAGAAAGUUAGACAAGGUACAAGAGUAUCGGUUCUAAAGUCGAUGAUUUUGAAAAUUUAGGUGUUGGGACCUCAUUUCUCUAAACUGGACUCGUAAAUAUUUUAUAGAGUUAUAUUAGAAGUGAAUUAAAUUUUUGGUUAUGUAAUUUUGAAGAAAAAGUGUUUAAUUAAAAUAAAGGGACUAAAUCAAAUAAGUGAUAAAAGUAAGAAUGAAUACUAAAUUAUAAGGUGAAUCUAUAUUGGAGGACUUAUUAAAUAAAUAGACCCUUAUUUAUAGAUUUUGAUAGGGGAUGUUUAUGAGGAUAUUUGUUACAUCCCGUUUUCAGUGAAAUCGAAACAGUGGUUUUAGGACCACAAAUCAGAUGUCAAAAAAUUUAUUUUAAUAUUAAUUUAUGAUCUACAGCAUGAUAGUAUUAUCAUAUAAAAAUUUCAUUAAGAAAUUUUAACGUUUACAUGUUCAAUUUGAUAAAAAUGACUAAAUCACGUAAAGUGCAAAAAUUGUAUUCUAUUAUCUAAAGGUAUUAAAUAACUAUAAAACUUUAAAGUGGACGUCCUUAUAUGGUAAUUAGACUAUUAAUGUGUUAGUGGAUGAUAAUGGUUUGGCAAUGUUGUAAUUUUUAAAUAUUAUAAAGGUUAAUAAAGUAAAUUAGGUAUUAAAUGAAUAAAUAAAGUAAACAUAAAGCUUUCAUCUUUAUUUUUUUUCUUCCUCAACCGAAAUUUCAAACAAAAAGAAGCCAUGGAUGCUGGAAAAUUUCAGCUAGUCAAAUUCCUUGCAUGUAAGCCCCUAAACUAUCAGUUUCUUGUAAUUUUUAUGUUUUUGAUAUCGUUGCAACUAGGUCCAGCUAGUCUUACCUUUGAUUUUGAAACUGUUAAAGAUUCUGAAUGUUGCCAUUGAUGAAUCUUGUGAUUUUUUAUGUUAUAUGAUGAAUUUGGAAUGUUGAUUUGUAUUUAAGAGUAUUUUGUUAAAUGAUUUUGAUGAAUUUUUUUAUUAGGGACUAAUUUGUUAAAUUAAUAAAAGUAUAAGGAUUUAAUGUGAAAUUGUUUCACAAAUGGGCUGUUUUGGAUACCAUGAACAUUCGGCUAAGCUCAAUUCUGGGUAAAAAUGGUUAUUUUUCAUGUUUUGGGCUCAAUGACUAAAUUGAAUAAAAGUAAAACUUUAGGGGCAAUUUUGUAAAGAUGUCAAAAAGACAAAAUUGUAUGAAAUGAAUUGUUUUAUUGUCUAAAUUAAUAUAUUGAAUGAAAUUAUUAAUUUGGAUCAAGAUCGAGUGGAAAAUAGAGGGAAAUAAAAAAUUACCAAAAUGUCCCUAAACUUUGGUAUUUCUACAAUUUAGCCAGGUAAGUUCGUAGUCCUUGAACUCAAACUCUAUUUAUUUAAUUUAAAUACUUAAUCAUUACUUUGAUAUAUUAAUUAUAUUUACAUAUAUGCAAAUGAUUAAAUUAUGAGAUGAGAAAUUGUGUAUUAUGCAUAUAUAUGAAAUGUGACAUUAUGAAAUGAAUCAAUAAGCAAUUAGAAUUUAAAUCGAUAGUAUGGGAAUGCUAUAUAUGGAGAUAUAAUGUGGAAUGAUGAGAUUGAAGUUGAAUAAUGUUGGUUAAUGUAUGGAGUUAAAUAAAAUCUUGUGUUUACAUGCUAGGUAAGUUCGUAAUCUUGAAACUCGAAUGUCAUUUACUUAAUUUAAUUAGUUAAUUGUUAAUUAUUAUUUAAGUAUGUUUUUAUUUGUGUUUGGUUAAGUUCUAUUGAAUGGAUAUUGAUAAAAUCAUAAACAGAUAGAAUGUGACAUUAUGGAAUAAAUUAAUGAAUGGUUAAUAGAUAAUUGAAGUGAAUAUGAUAUUGAGUUGAUUAUUAGAUAAUUGAAGUGAAUGUUGAGUUAUGAAAUGCGAUAUUGAGAUUAUGAAAUGUGAUUUUAUGGACUUGCGAAUGAGUAAUUGAUAUUGUCGAUUCAUCCGACUAGAGCUGGGCUCACUAUUUAUUUCGUCGGUUUAUCCGACUAGCGCUGGGGGCAAAUAUCGAUGGUUUAUCCGACUAGAGUUGGGCUCACUAAUUAUUCAUCAGUAUAUCCAACUAGCGUUGAGCGCAACUUUCAUCAGUUUAUCUUACUAGUGCUGGGCAAACAUUUGUCGAUUUAUCCGACUAGCGCUGGGCGCAAACUCUUUUGUGGAUUAUCCGCUAGGCACCGGGUGUCUUGUAUCAACUGGACUAUACAGCAAGGUUUUAUGAAUCAUCUAAGAAGAAUGGUUAUAGGUAUUACUAAAAAAGAUUAUAUUUACUUAUCUAUAUACAAUUAUUCAUUAGAAGAUAUGAUAUAUUCUUGAGUUAGAUUAUUAAAGUUGUGAAAUAAAUUCAAAUGCUUUAGAUAUACUUGUGGUUUUUCGAAUAAGUGAAGUUUACUUAACGUGGAUUGGUUUGUGCCAUAAUAUAAGUAAAUUAUUGAUUGAUCUAUGCAAAGCUAUUUAUAUAGCAAGUGAUGUGAAUUGAGGUAUAUGUUUAAACCAACUAAAUGUGAAUACUUGUGAAAAUUGAGUAUAGCAUGAAUUAAGAUGAUAAAAUUCAUGAUAUUGAAAUGGUGAUAUCUUGUAAUUGUAUAUUUAGAUAGUAGUAUGAUAGUAUAAUUCAAUUUGAGCAUUCAUGUAUCAUAUCAUGUCUUAAAAUGUUCGGAUUAUAGAAAUAUCAUUGAGUUUUACUCAACGUGUGGUUUUGUUUCCGUACUCUCUUUUGAUCGCCGACCCAACAUCCAGCAACGAUCCUGAUCUCAAUUGUGGUGAUGUUUACCUUUUGUGAUGGCAUGUACCUAGGAUGUCCUAAUCGGUAGUAGUUUUAUGAGUGAAUUGUAAUUAAGUAUAACGUUGGUUUGAUAUAUACAUAUAUAUAUGUAAACAUGUGUUUGUGUUUGAAGCCAUAAUAUAUUAAGCUUGUUGUUUAAGGCACAUUUUAUGUCCACACGGCCAGAGACACGGGCGUGUGACUUGGCCGUCUGGCCGUGUGAGACACACAGCUAGCAUAUGGGCAUGCGAGGCUAUCCUCGAGGGUUACACGGCCUAGCACAUGGGCGUGUAGCUUGGCUGUGUGACCCAAGUCAGUGAGUUAUGUAACAUUCUAAACCUGGCCUAGAAGUUUAGAUCGAAUCCCGGAUAUUACAUUGACCACCGAAGUGAUCGUAGGUGAAUUUUUGCAAAAACAGGUUGUCACGUCAAACCGAAACAUUUAAUAGUCAAAAAAUUCAUUUAGUAAAAUUACAGUUGAGAUAAUAUAUAUAAGUAGAAUAAAACUUAAAUUGGAAUAUGUACUACAAUUUUAUAAAAGCUUACAGUUCAAAAUCUAAAUGAAAAAAUAGAAACUGAAAAUAUAACGUUUACUAAGUUUUCUCCAAGUCCGUCUGAAAUCUCCGCAUACCGAUCCUAGCGUUAGAAAUUAGAUAAGGUACCUGAAAGGGAAACACUAAGAGGGGGUGAGCUACUCGAGCUUAGUGUGAGUUCGAAACAAAACAAGAUACAGAAUUACAGUAUUCAAAGUAGAAGCACAAUAGAAUUUCAAACACACACAGAGUCGGAGAGUAUACUUGAAACUAACGUCCCAACCAAAUGUAACAACCCGAGCACACCAAAUUCAUACAGAAAACUCUAUACGAGUGCUGUAUAAACAUACAGAUUAUAGACAACUAAUCUUACAAAUAGAACUCAUAGACAGAUGCAAAUGAAAUGCAGUCAGAUAAUAAAACCCAGCCAUCCAACCAACACACCUCUCUGUCCCCCAAUCACACUGCAUAAGAACUGUUUAAGCUCAUCCAACCAAAACACACCACUUAGGACCUCAAAAGGCCAAUCUAACCUUACACACCACAUAUGUGGACUAAGCCACUCAGAUAUCAAUACGCAGCAGAGCUGGCAUAUUUGCUGUACAGUACAAUGAGGUAAUAUGUUGUACAGUCCUGUUACAGUUAUACUGCCAGUCAGAUAAUAGUACGCAGCAAAGCUGACGCACAUGCAGUAAAGUGUGAUAAAUAUGGAUAAAGAUAUGUCAGAAUGAGCCUGUUGGUCCAGUGGUUAAGUGGAGUGUUGACGUUGCAAAAUGUCAAGAGUUCGAGUCUCUGCGCGAGCGAAGGAUUUAUUCUUACUUGUAGCUGUAUAAGUUCUUUUGCCUCCCACUCUACUUUUCAUCAUUUUGCUGUUUUCUCUUGCCGAAGUUACAUUGAGUUCUUUCUUCUUUUUCUCUUUUUCUGUCUUUGUUCUUUUCUCCUCUUCGUCCCAUUACUUAAGGUUUUUUCGAAAGCAAGUCUUUCAAUUUCGAGUUGCAAGUUUUGGUAAGUCUUUGUAAGUAGUUCGUUUCUUUUGAUGAUUUCCCUUUGAUAUGUUUCAUACAUGGCAUUAGGGAGAGGUUUUCAAGCACUCAUGGGCAUCACUCUGAGAUUUAUUUGGGUGCAAGAUUCAGUGUAUAUUUUGAAGGUGGGAGGUUAGUCGCUUUUGGGUUAACCUUGAUGCAAACUCAUUAUGGGUUGUUUUAUUAAUAUGAUAUCACAGGUUCUUAAGUACCAUUGUAGGGUGAUGUUGUUUCAUGCUGACUUCUUCGGCUGUUUAAGUUCGAUUGUAAUCACUCAGUUGUAGAAAUGACUGUUAGUUCUUUUGUUGGUGAUAGGUUCUCUUCAGAGGGCUGGUGAUCUCUAAUCGUCAUGUAUGUUGUGCGAAACUUGUUGGUGUAGUGAAGGUAGCAUUUCGGGAUUUUGGCAUAUGGUCUCCUCUUUUUGGCGUUUUGGCAAGGAUGGUUGGAGGGGACACUAUCUUUAUGUUUAAUGAUCUGUUUCUAAUGGAGGCCUAAAUUGUGUUUAGGUAAUUGGUAGUCGACUGUAGUGAUUUGACCGGUGCUGAAACAGUAAGGGAAUCAUUAUCAUGCAUUCUAGGUGUUAGGGUAUUCGUGGUUGUGUUCUCUGCAAAUAAGGUGUGUAACACACUACCCCUACUCGCAAAUCGGCAAAAGCUAGAAUGAGUGACCCACAACGCUACACAAGUGUGCGCUCACUCGUGAGGUAAACCGAAUGCCUAAAUGUGGGCGUAAGAUUAUUGGGGCCGGCCAUGAGCAAUUUCAUAGGCAGAGUCCGUUUUGGGUCAUCUUGGGCCGAACUGGGCCGUGUGGGCCCCACGAUCUCGUGGGCCCUACAUGGGUAAACCAUAUGAACAUGUGGAGAUUAUUGAGCCAGGCUAUGUAAUUCAUAUGGCUAAGGCCAUUAUAGGGCUUUGUGGACCAUACGGGCAUGUGGGCCCACAUGAGCUGCAAAAUGGGCCUUGGGCCCAUUUUCACUAUUUGACUGUUAAGGUUGCACGGGUCGCCCGAGAUGACUGUGGACCUUCUGUUGGGUCGAUAGGUGUACCUAGACCCUUAAUCGAUAAAAUGACUAUUUUGCCCUUAUGUGUUAAAAUAACUGUUUUACCCUUAUAUGGUAAAAUGACUGAAAUGCCCCUACAUGGUAAAUUGAUUGUUUUGCCCCUAUGUGAUAUAUGUUUAUAUUUUAGCAUGCUAUUGUAACUGUGUUGAGUACAUGUUUAAUAUCAUGACAUGUGGCAUGAUGCAUUGCAUGGGGUGGGUUUUUAUAUGAUGGAGGAAGUGUACUGUUCUGGCAGCUCUGCUGCAAAUCAUUGAUGGCUUUAAGUCUAUUUUACUGGAAGCUCUGCUGCAAAUACUGUUUAGUGCCGCAACCGGUGCUAAUUUUGGUGUGUAGGGAUGGGUGGGUUGAUUAUUUCCCCACAUAGAGUGUAGGGUUGGACGGAGAUGGUGUGUAGAGACUGGAUGGGUAGGACUUGCAUACUGUUUACUGUUACUGCACUGUUUGCUGUUACUGUAAUAGGCCAAGGCCUAAUAUAUAACUGUUUCUGUAUUGAGAUGGGCUAAAGCCCAAACUGAUAUUGUCACUGUUUAUAUUAAGGGCUUAGGCCCAGACUGUAUUUGCACUGUUUGAUUGUUUGUUUACUUAUAUGGGAUUACAUACUGAGUUUUUGUAAACUUACCCAUUUGUUUAACAGUACAAGUAAUCCCCAGCCUUAGGCAUAUCGGUGUUGCGGGGGACUCAAAGGUUGCCACACAACCGCACGUAUUUUCUUAUUUGAUUUAAAAUUAAGUUUUUGGGGUAUUUUUAUGUAAUAAGGCCUCUUUAAUUUGGGUUUUAUUUUUAAUUUGGGGGUUUAUAUUUGUUUUGCUUUAAUACAGCUAGCAGUAGGAAAAACACGCGGGUUUUCAAAAAGAUAAAUGUUUUUCAAAAAAUACCACGAAUACAUAAAUGGUUUUAAGAGCUACUGCAAGAAAACAACGUUUUACAAGUAAACGCUAGUAAGCUUCUGCUAUAAACGAGAUUUUGAAAUUAAUAACGUUUUAAAGUGAAUACUUAUUGAUAAUGAAGCAAGUUUUAAAAUCAUCUUUUAGAUCACACAAAGAGGCUAAAUAAAGAUUGGGCUUUUCAAAUGAGAACAUGCUUUACGAAAAACACUUCAAUGUGACAUCGCCAGGUUCAGCCAUAACGUCCAGGCCAGGUUUGGGGUGUUACAGGAACCUAAAUACGAUAUACAAAAUUAUCAAAAGUUGUAACUAAAGGUAUAGAGGUGAAUGAAUGAAUACUUUACAAAUAAAUUAGCACAUUUUUAUAGGAUACAUCUAUCGAUAGAAAAUCGGUCCACCAAGUAUUACUUUAUGAGGGAGAUGGAUUAGCAAGUGCAUCAUAAUAGUGAAGAAGGAAUGUGGAAAGAUCUUCUCCAAAUUGCAUAAAGUCAAAGCGGCUCGAUCUUGUACUUUCUCAAGUUCUUCAACAUUCAAAACUUUACCGCAAAUAGCUUUCAUUAUAUUGGAUAAUUCAUUUAUACAAGACGUCACAUUUUUUAACAUACAACACCGUAAAGCAACUGGCAGUAAAUCUUGCAUCAAGAUGUGAUAAUCAUGUGAUUUUAAGGAAUAUAUUCUUCUAUCUUUAAGACUCACACAUUGAGAUAUAUUUGAUGCAUACGCAUCUAGGACCUGUAUAUCCUUCAACACCAUGCAGAACAUUUCUUUCUCUUUCUUUUACAUUCCAAAAAUAGAAGACGCCAACCAAUAUUUCCCAUUUGGAAGUACUUAGGGAUGAAGAUCACGCUGAAUUCCCAUGUCAACUAAAUCAAGUCGACUUUGAAGAUUGUCUUUCGAUUUUCCAUCGACAUUCAAAAUUGUCUCAAUGAUGUUCUCGCAAACAUUCUUCUCAAUAUGCAUGACAUCAAGAUUGUGUCGUAAAAUGUGAUGCUCCCAAUAAGGCAACUAAAAAAAAUACUUCUUUUUUUUCCACAAGUCCGCCUCAUUAGGAUCAUCAUCUUCAUCAGAUUCAUCAUCAGAUUCAUCCCUUAAUCUUCUCUUUUUUUGCGUGUUUGAUGGUUGAUUCAUCUUCCCAUAACGAAAAUUGAUAUCUUUCAACAUGAAUAAGAUUUCAGAUCCAAUGGUCGGCUCGGGAGCUUCUCUGAACUCUUUAGUACCGUCAAAUAGAGUCCUCUGAAAUCUAAAUCUAUGAUUUUCAUCUAACCACCGACGAUAUAUAACCACUUCAAACUUGCGUAACACAAAAAAGACAAGCAUAACGUCUUUUGGUACUCCAACCAGAUAAAUUGGCAUAAGCCAGGAAAUCAUUAAUAAUCCACAACAAAGCUGCACGUAAAUAAAAGUUCUCCUUUCUCAAUACAUCGUAUGUCUCAACACCCACCCAUAAUUGUUUUAACUCUUCAAUAAGUGGCUGCAAAUAAAUGUCAAUAUCAUUUCUGAGACCUUUCUCUCUAGGGAUAAUCAUAGAUAAGAUAAAACAAUAUUGCUUCAUACAAAUCCAUGGAGGCAAAUUUUAAGGAACAAGCACUACAGGCCAAGUACUAUAAGAAGUGCUUAUGAUUUUAUAAGGAUUAAAUCCAUCAGAUGCUAGCCCAAGCCUCACACUCCGAGGAUCGCUUGCAAAGCUUGGAAAUUUACUGUCAAAUGAUUUCCAAUCUAAAGAAUCCGCAGGAUGCCUUAAUAAUCCAUCACCGGUUCGUUGAUUAUGAUGCCACCUCAUAGACCCAGCUGUCUUUGACGAUAUGAAAAGCCUUUGAAGCCUUGGUAUUAGUGGAAAAUAUCGCAAAAUCUUGACUGGCUUCUUUCUUAACAGUGCCUGACCUUCAUCCUCAUUCACAUCUUCUAUAUUCCUAUUCAUCCAACGAGAAUUACCGCAAACAUGACAAAACUGUUGGUUUUUCCUAUCACCCCAAUAUAACAUGCAGUCAUUUGGGCAACUAUGAAUUUUGUCGUACCCAAUGCCUAAAUCUUUUAUCAGUUUCUUCAUAUCUUUGCAUGAAUAAGGGAUUUUUGUAAACGAAGGCAUAUCUCUCAAAAACUCUAACAGCAUUGUAAAAGAGUUUUCGAUCCACCCUCUCAAACAUUUUAAGUGAAAUAGACGAAUGCAGAAGGACAAUUUUGAAUAUUUUGAUCCCUCGUAAAGUUCUUCAUUCAUUUCAUUAAGUAAAUUGUAAAACUUCGCCGCUUCUCCAUUUGGCUCUUUAUCAGGUACACUUCUUCCCGCUUCGGUAAAAGCAUUUUCACCAAUAUUACAAUCAUCGAAUGCAAUAAAGUCAGGUGAAAACGAUUGCAAACCAUGACUGUGCAUAUUAAAUGCAUCCCGCAACAUACCUUCCAUGUCAUCUUCUCUAACAGACUGCUUGUAAGCACUAUGAAGAUAAGUCGGAUUAAUAGUUGAAGAGGUUCUACUAGAUGUACACUCUCCAUGGAAAAUCCAUUUUUUAUACCCCCGAAUAAAGCUAUCAACAAUUAGAUGUUCGUAGACAACUUCACGAAAAUGCCAAUUGAUGUUGCCACACUUCUUAUACAGGCAAAGAAUCAUAUUCUCUUAGCUUGCAUUUUGAAAUGCAAAAUUUAGAAAAGUUUGUACUCCAUUUCGAUAGUCAUUGCUUACCCUUGACAAAUUCAUCCAACUCUUAUCCCUUUUUUUGUUCUUGAGGUCUAAAGUUGACAAUAUGAUAUUUAUUUAUGUCAGUUAUGUAAAAUAUGUAAGUUAUGAAAAUGAUGUAAGUUAUGUAAAUUCUGUAAAUUAUGUAAGUUGUGUAAAUUAUGUAAGUUAUGUAAGUUAUGACAUUUAUGAUAUGAUAUAUAUUUAUGUAUUAUGUAAGUUAUGUAAGUUAUGAUAUGAUAUAUAUUUAUAUAAGUUAUGUAAGUUAUGUAUGUUAUGUGAGGUAUGUAAGUUAUGAUAUGAUAUAUAUGUAAGUUAUGUAAUUUUAAAGAAAUGAAAAUGAAAAUAAUGUAAAUUGAGUAAUAUCUGUAUGGGCAUACAUUUGUAUUGUCAAAAGAAGAUUUCACCAUUUCACUAAUAUACACACCUCAACUCAGUUCGACAUUUUCAUUGUUUUAAAAAAAAUUAAUCUAAACCAAAACUCAAACUUUAGUAUAAUUUAGUAUGAUUGUUAUUUUUAAAUAAAAUAGACUUAAUGGAAUAAUGUUAAAUUGGAUUUAUGUUCAUAUUUGGCAGCAACUAGAGGUGUGCAUGGACCGGGUUCGGGUCGGGCCCACAAAAAAUUUUAGGCCCGUUUUCUAGGCCCGGGCCCGGCCGGCCCGAAAUAUGGGCCUAAAAAUUUGUCCAAGCCCGGCCCGAAAUAAAAUUGUUAAGCCUGAGCCCGGCUCGGCCCAACCCCUAUUAAAAUUUUUUUAACUUAUUUUGUUAAAUAAAAAAAUUUAAAAUAUAUUAAAUAAUCAAAUACAUUUAAAAAAAAUAUUAAAACAAAAAACAAAUAAAAAUAUAUUAAAACAAUUUUUUAAACAAUACACAAAUUGAAAAUAUAAUAAAAAUUAAUUAUAUUAAAAUUAAAAAUAAAAUAUAAAUAUGAUUAAAAAUAAAAAAUAUAUAUUUAGUAUAUAAUUCGGGCCGGGCAAGGCCCAGGCCAAAAAAAUUUACCCGAGCCCGGCCCAUUUUCUAAACAGGCCUCGAUUUUUUGCCCAAACCCAUAUUUCGGGCCUAUAUUUUUACCCAAACCCUCCCAUUUUUCGGGCAGGCCUUCGGGUCGGACUGGGUAUCCCGGCUCAUGCACACCUCUAGCAGCAACAGUGAUGUAAUAUCAACAAGCCAUUCUUUUGAUUCUUUUCCAUAUUCUUUACAUUUACAAUCAUGCCCGAUAAAUAAUUUAAAUUUUAUUUCACACAAGUAUGCUAAAAUUCAAGAGAACACUAACCUCAAUAAGCUUCCCAAAAUAGUAGGUUCAACAAGAAGCUUCAAUCCAAACGUUAAAUCUAGCUUCACCCUUGUUCUCUUCUCUAGCUUCAAGCAUAUACCUAACAUUUUCCAUGAAAAAAGCCAUUACUACUUUCUCAAAUAUUAAUUCAUGUAUUAUAAUUUGAUCUCAAAAUAUUAAAUUUAUUAAUAUAUUAUGAGUCAUUCAUAACUUAAUAUGCAUUGUUAAAAAUAAUUUUAUUUAAAAAAAUCCAAAAUUUAAAUGCAUUUAAAUUGAAAACAAUUAUAAAUUAACAUGUAUACUAGUUUAAAUCCACUUGCUUGUUUGAACGUUGAUGCAUUUGCAUGCCCACUUUGCCUUUCACAUGAGUUUGAGAUAAGUGGCUAACCCUAAGUAGGCCCCACAAGCACAUGGCCAAGUUAGCAAACGCCUUGAUUUUUCUUCUUCUUUUUUAUUAUUAUUUUAUCUAAUAAAUUUGAGAUAUUUAUUCCACUAAAUUCCAUUAAAGAGGCAGACAACUACUCCCACAAAGUUGAGGCAGACAACUAGUCAAUACAAACCAUAACCUUAAAUAUAAAUUAUUUAAUAUAUCCAAAAUAUUCUAAAUAUAUUUAUAAUACAAAAUAAUAAUAAUAAUAAUAUAACCCAAUAUUUUGAUUUCUUUUUUUUUCUCAAUUUUUUUAUUUCAUAUAUUUCUUGCUAAAUUAUCAUCCCAGUUUUAAUUCAUAGAAAAAAGUCAAAGAUAUAAUAUAUAUGGAAAUUAGUAAGAGGCAGCUUGCAAUUUCCAGGAGGUGGACUAUAAUUAUAAAGAAAAAGAAACAAUAAAGUGAUGAAAAUAAUGUGAUAUAUACAAUUUGAUGAAAAUAAUUGGAGUCUUUCCACACUCCCCAGUUGCUUCAACAUCCUUAAUGAACACCAUGCAACUUAUAUCAAAAACAACCAGUGCAACAAUGAAAUAAGCUUUCAAGCUAAACAUCUCUGCUAAACAAACUUUUCAACACCCAAUUUGCAGAAAUUUGAAACAAUGAAUGCCUAACAUAUACCAACGUUGCAACAUAUAUAAUACUAUUGUCUAUGUUAGUGGUGCCCAUCGAUCAAGUGAGCCAAGGCUAAUAAUUUCCUUUUACUCUUUAUUACAUCCAAUCUCACCUUCACGAAUAUUUUAGGGCAGCAGAGCUAAUAUUUAGUAUUUUGGAUUUAAAUUUUAAAAAUAGUAUAAAUUUAGUAUUUAGGGCAGCAGAGAUAAAAGAAAAUUUGUAAACAAAUCAUGGUAGAACGAAUUAGAAAAAUACAACACUGAAAUUCGUUUUUUUACAGACUUGAAAUAAGCUACGGAGGGCGAAAUUUACCUAUGGUUGCGAUAGCGGAGAGUGACGGCGACGACGACGCAGCAGAGAGGACAGCGGACGGCGAUGAGUAGGUGGUCGGGUUGGCGUCUUUAGUGGUAUGACAAAAGGAUAUGGCUAAGUAUCGGGUAUGACAAAAGGAUAAAAUGUAAGAAAGGAAAACGACGCCAUUUUGGUAACAAAAAAGUUGACCGUUUAUGGCGUUCUUGAAAAGCGCCGCUAAAGCCAAUCUAUUACGGCGUUUAUAAGAUAGCGCUGCUAAACCCCCUAAAGCUCUGACGUGUUUUCAUUAAAGUUAAAUGUUUUUUACGGCGUUUUCUAAAAAUCGCCGCUAAUGCCCUACCAAAAACGACGAUGUCUCAAUUAAAGUAAAAUACUUUUUGUGGCGUUUUUUUCAAAAGUGCCACUAAUGGUCGGUCCAUUGCGGCGUUUUCAACAAAGCAAUGCCCUACCAAAAAUGGCGACGUUUUAAUUAAAGUAAAAUACUUUUUGCGGCGUUUUUUCAAAAGCGCCACUAAUGGUCGAUCGAUUGUGGCGUUUUCUACAAAGCGCCACUAAUGCCCGAACAAAAACGGCACUGUUUUAAUUAAAGUAAUUUUUUUGCUACGUUUUCUCAAUUGCCCCACUAAAAGUCGAUCUAUUGCGGAGUUAAACGCCGCUAAUAACCUAUUCAAAACGGCACGUUUUGAUUAAAUGAAAUUGUUUUUUGCGGUGUUUUUUCAAAUGCGCCACUAAUAGUCGCUUUAUUGCGGCGUUUUCUGGAAAGCGCCGCUAAAGCCACUAAAGAUGCAUCCGAAAACGGCGCCGUUUUAUUUAAAGUAAAUCGUUUUUUGCGGCGUUUUCGACCAAGCGCAGCUAAUGCCUCUAGAGAAACGGCGUCAUUUUGUUUAAAGUAAUAUGUUUUUUGCGGCGUUUUUGACUACCUUCUAUAGUAAUAAUUUUUUUUAGUUUAAUAAUUUAUUAAAUUCCUUUAAACUAAUUUUGUUUUGUUUCUAACAAUAUAUUUAAUUUGUAAAAUUUAAUAAUUGUGUAUGAAAAUAAUUUAAAACAAUGAAACCAAACUUCCUUACGAAGAGUUUGUGUCCAUGAGUUUAAUUUUUUGUGCAGCUGAUAAAAUUUAAUUUCUCAAAAUUUAUCCCUAAAGCCUAAACCCUAGAUCCUAAACUCUAAAUUAUAUGUACCCUAAAUCUUAAACUCUAAAAUAUAUAUCUUAGCCCAUUAACCCUAAAUUGUAAACCCUAUAUAUAUUACAAGGUACAAAAGUAAUUAAAAAUAAUAAUCUUAUUGCUUACCUAAACCCUAAAAUAACUUUAUUUUUUGUCACUUUUAUCAAAUCCCUAACCCUUAAACAUUAAUAUCCUAACCCUUAAAACCAUAAACACUAAAACCCUAUUUACAACACAUUAAACCCCAAAUCACAAACCAUAAACCAUAGAUCUUAAAACACAAAACCCUAAAUCUAAAAUUCUAAAUAUUAAACCAUAAACCCUAAAAUCAUCGACCUUAAACCUUAAAUAUUAAAUUUUAAAUUCUAAACCCUAAAAUACAAUUAUUAUUUUUUAAGGCGUUUUUAUCAUAAACGCCGCUAAUGCUUGCCCUUUUGCGGCAUUUUUACCAUAAACGCCGCUAUAGCUUUAAACUUUUACGGUGUUUUCCUAUUAGUGCCACUAAUGUAUAACUUUUGCGGCUUUUUUUACCAUAAACGCCGCUAUAGCUUUAAACUUUUACGGUGUUUUCCUAUUAGUGCCACUAAUGUACAACUUUUGCGGCUUUUUUUUCCUAAGCGCCACAAAAAUGCCGCUAAAAACCUGUUUUACUAUAGUGGCGAUAUUUUCAGGUGCUGUCAUCGCAAAUGAUGCUGAGGAGGCUGAGAUUGGUUUUGAGACCUUGGUUGCUUCAAUCAGCUUUUGCAGAGAUUGAGAUCGCUAAGAUGAAGGUUGGAAAUGUCGUUUUCUCAUUGGCGGAAAAAAAAGGUAAUGAUAUGGCUUCUCCUUGGCGAUGGCAGAUGUUAAUCAGACGCAAAUGUUUAAAACUUGGUGGUGAUGUUUGGUUGUGAAGAUUUAGCAGGUUACAUGUUUUGUGCUUGGACUGUGUUCUUUAUUCUGUUUUGCUGUUAAUUUUUUAGUUCUUGGACGCUACUCUGUUUUUUGUCAGUGCAGUUUGAACGAAGCAAAAAAAAAAAAAGAGAAAAAAAUCCCCUUUCUUCUUUUUCUGAGAGUGUGUUCAAUGUUAAACUUGAUGAUACCAAUGAAGACAUUGGUUGGAUUCCUUACUGCUUUUUGUUUGUUUUUAACACGUCCAUUGACUUGUAAUAGUAAAAGUCUUGGCAGUUUUAUUGUUAUUGAUAGACCCCCAAUAAUGCACAUAUUUAUGCAGUCUCGUGGUGGAGCCCCGACAAGCUAUCGACAUCCUUGGAAGACAAUAUAUUGUUACAUCUUCGGCAUCUCAUACCAGUGGUGCCAGAAGAAGCGAAACCCAAUAACUUCAGGCAAUGGUUCCAAUAACCAUUCCUUGAAGGAUAAAACAAAGACUCCAAGUUCAGACACAGAUAGUGAGUUCUUGGUUAGUAAUUUGUUCUUUUCAUUGGCUAUGAAGAUUACUAUUUUGUUCUUGUUCUUAUGGUUUUCCAAGUGUAAAGUAAUGAUUGUUUUGGUUCUUAAUAAAAGUUGAAUUAAUUUUCUUAGCAAAAUGAACAAAUAUAUAAAAUAUUAUCAAAAAAAUCAUUUCGAACGGUUCUUAAGAGAAACCAUUGACUUGUAAUUAAUCCAAAGUCUUUGUGCUUUUAUUGCCUAAUUCAUAAAAAUUAUUCCAAGUCUUGCAUUGAUGGACCCCAUAAACCAUGCUUUUAAAAGCACAUGCUGGGAAAUAAACUGGAUUAAAAUAAAUUCCACCCAAAAAAAUAAGCAACAAGACCAAAUUAAUUUAUAACUUGUAAUUGGGGUAGGUUGGCACCUUCCUUUAUUGAAUAAAUAUCAAAAUUGUAUUUGAAAUUUAAUUUAAUUAAUAAUAUCAUAUAUAUAAAUUUUAAUUUUAUGUAAUUAUAUAUGAAUCUUUUAUUUGAUUCAAUCUUCACAAAUUACUAACAAUUUUAUCGAAUUAAUGUAAUUUACAUUAUUAUAUUGUAUACACAAAUAAUUAUAUUAAUCUAGUAUGAAAAUAAAUACAUGCAAUUUAAACAUAUACAACUAAAUUAAAAUUAAAAUUUUAUAUAUAAUUACAUCAAAUCAAAUUGUAGCAUCAAAUUUUAUAUAUAAAUUAAUAAAUAGUUUUUUUAAAAUAAUAUAAUUAAAUGAAUUUGACAGAAAAGAAAAAAAAAAUUCUUAUCUUUGUCCAAGUAAUUCCCACCACAAAAUAGGAGAUUCGAUACGAUGCUUUGUAGGUCCAAUGUAGGGCAAGAAUGUCGAAACUUUAUUUUAGUGAGGAAUGAAUUAUUUUAUUCCAGGAAAUGAAUUACCUUGUGUUGCAGCAACUUUCCUCAAAAUCCGUACUCCGAAAAUGAAGAAAGCUCGUAAAGCUGAGAAUAUGCAUCUCAAAUCUCGUAAACCUGAAUUUCUCUUCAUAUUUUUAUUCUUAUACACCCUUCCUAUGGGGUUACUUGUUCAUUUUACCAUGGCUGCAGCAAUUGAUGAUGGUAACAUCCAUUUCAAUUUGACUGAUUUCACCCCAAAUAUGCCUCACAUACAGUUUGAAGCUGAUACAACCGCAUCAAGUGGCCAAAUCCAACUCACCACCAACCAGAGAAACAAGCCUUUGAACGGUAGUGUUGGUCGAGCCACUUAUUACCAACCAAUGCACCUUUGGGACAAUUCAUCAGGGAAGCCCCGACUUGCAGAUUUCACCACUCAUUUUUCUUUCUCCAUCGAUUCCUUGAAUAAAUCCUCCGGAGAUAGGGGUGAUGGGUUUGCGUUUUUCCUUGCUCCCGAUGGCUCAAAAAUCCCUCCUCACUCCGGAGGUGGUUGCUUGGGACUUCAAAGUUGCGAUUCAGACGCAGUGGAAUUUGAUACGUAUCCCAAUGUAUGGGAUCCUCUGGGGUUAGAUCACGUGGCCAUUGAUCUCAACUCUAUCAAGACUUCUUUUUACCCUGUCCAAUGGACGUGGAGUGGCAUUGAACAUGGAGGAAAGGUUGAUACUUUCAUCACUUACAACUCUAGUACAAAAAACCUGAGUGUCUUUUUACUUGGUGCUGAGGACUUUAAUCGUCUAAAUUCAUCUAAUCUUUCCGCAAUAUUGGAUCUUAGUCAAUAUUUACCAGAAUGGGUCACUUUUGGCUUCUCCGGAUCCACUGGAUCUAGCAUUGAGCUACACACUAUUUGUUCCUGGAGUUUCAGCUCCAACUUACAAGUUUCCAUGAAUAAAACCAUCAAUCCUCAAAAUCUACCACCAAUCCCUCCAUUCAACUCCAGAAGG